rnacentral:lncRNA from 1 species
AAAGACUCAAGUUGCUGGAAAAUACGCCACCCUUGCUUUGCCAAAACAACCAAAUUAAAAGCAAAUAAAUCCCAAAAUCCCAUACCAUCCCCCUCCUCCUUCGGUUUGGGCAAUUUCUCCCAAGACCACCAAUGUAUUUUCCUCACAUUUAGAUCACUUCCCCACCAAAACUGAGCCAUUAAUUGGUGAAGAUAAUCACAUAACAUCCUAAGAAGCAAGAAACAAUUCAUAGCGUAAGCCGGAAGGGCUUGAGCAACCACUAUAAUAAGAAGCUCUCGCCCCACACUACUCAAACAUUUUCCUUUCCACCCGUUUAGCCAUUUCAGAACUCGUUCCUUGAUAAAUGAAAACGUUUGUGUCUUAUUUUUCACCACAAAGGUAGGGAGACCCAAGUAUUAUUCAUGCUGCUUAACCACUUGGACCCCCCAAAAGCUGGCAAUAGAAAUUUGCUCCCUUGAGCCAACAUUUGCACUAAAAGCAACACUACUCUUAAAAAAUUAACCACUUGGCCCGACUCUUAAGAGUGGACAUCAAAUAUAUGUUGAAUCGCCACACUCAUCUAUACUAGCUUUCUCGAAGAGAAAACUAUCAUCAACAAAGAGUAAGUGGUGAAUAUUCAAAGCACCCUCACAAAUUUGAAUACCACUAAGAGCCCUACACUGCUUCUUUUUGGCAAUAAGCGCCGAAAGAUCUUCCACACAAAGAAGGAAAAUAUAGGCGAGAUUAUAUCCCUUUUUUGGAGUCCACGAGAUGGCAAAACAUAUCCCUUAGUCUCCCCAUUGAUUAGGAAAUAAUAGGAUAUCGAGGACACAGAAGCCAUAAUCACUUUGAUCUAUUCCCUAGUAAACCCUAAGUUAACCAUCAUAGCUUAUAGGAAUGUCAUUCGACACGGUCAUAUGCUUUACUGAGGUCCAUCUUUAAAGCCAAAUACCCCUCCCAACCGCGCGUCAUUUGUUAUGUAGGAAAUGCCCAAUCUCCGCUGCCAUCAACGAGUUAUCGGAGAUCAAUCUUCCAGGAACAAACUGUUUGGGUUAAAACUUAAAUCUUGGGCUUAGAAGGGAGUUGGCCCAGCGAAGAGGAGAAAAGCCUGAAGUCCAGCCCAAAUCCAGAAGGCAGAAAAGGGCUUUCCCGACUAGGUGCAUGUCAUUUGCACCACUUGCUCACCUACCCAAGGGCCAAGUAGUAUAGACCUGCCAGCUGAUCAGCCCAAAAGUACUUUACAGUGGUAGUACAAGUAAAUAGCUGAUGAGUCACUACCCUUCAAGCUGCAUUCGGGUAAGGUUGCUGCUACAGGAAGACAAGCCAAGUUGUCUAUAAAAGAAGAAAGAGAAAUUAGGAAUAAAGACACUCAAUCAAACAAACAAAUACAAGCACAAACUCUGCUCAAACCAGAUUUGCCUUCAAAACGAAGCUGUAGUCAGCCCAAGCCUUCAUCAUUCUCGGGAUAAACCUUUGUAAUAGCUUUGCUACCUGGUCAAGAACCUACUGUAGUAUCGAUUUCUUUCUGCAAACCCAUCUCCCUACCCCUUUUCUGAAAGUUCUCAACCCCCUUGACAAACCACAAAGAUAGGAAGUUACAAGACGAUCAGCCUUGCCCGACCUUCUUUGUUUUUGUCUUUUCAUUCAUUAGCCUAACAAUAUGUUGUAUACUACAAGUUGUAUUCAAGUUAUCUCUAGUAAUAUGGCUAUUAAAAGACUUUCUCAGCGCUUAAAUCCGAGUUGAAUAUGUCUUCAUAGUUCAAACUGGAUCUAAGUUCUAAACCCUCGGGCAUGUAAGAUUUGAUCAUCCAAAAGUCCUUGGCCUCAAGGCAUAAAAAAGAACCUUAUAUGGACUUAACCCAUCCAUGACAAGCUUUGAUAAACAAGAAGUCCGAAGUUACUUGGGGUGCAAGUAAUCGAUUUAUCACCUAGUUUUAUUUCUAUUAUAUUAUGAUUACAAUAGAACGUUGAGUAUAGAAUGAAUUCUGAUGGGAAGCCUCAAGGCCUACACGUAAGGCCCUACAAAGGCACCUAUUUGGAUUCAUUAUGUCCUUCGGGCUAGAACGAUGAGUAUAGAAUGAAUUCUGAUGGGAAGCCUCAAGGCCUACACCUAAGGCCCUACAAAGGCACCUAUUUGGAUUCAUUCUGUCCUUCGGGUUUAGAUAAUCAGAAGUAUAAUGGUUAUAAGAUUUAUAUAACCAAGGAAACGAACCAUAUGUAUAUAUUCAAAUACUAAGUUAAUUAUUAACGGGAAGCCUCAAGGCCUACACCUAAGGCCCCACAAAGGCACCUGUCAUAACUAAAAUAGUCUCUUGGGUAUGUAUACAAUUAAAAUUCAACAAUUGUUCUACAUCUGCCAUGCUGAAGAUAGCAGUGGCACGCCUGAGCACUUAAAAGUUAAUUUUAAUUGUGAGCCUCAAGGCCUACACCUAAGGCCCCAUAAAGACACCUUUCAAAGUUAACUCAGUCCUUCUCUUUCAGCCUUGCCCGACAAGCCUUGCCCGACUAGGCUUUGCCCGACAAGCCCGCCAGUAAAGCAGAAACCCGACAUGAAGCAUCAACCGGCGCCGACCUCUCGGGGAGCUGUGUGCUCGUCGGCCAGGGAACAUCCCCGAUGGAAAUUCCUGCCACGAACAUAGUUUGGCACGCCCGGUGGGAUUCCAUUUGUGUUGAUCGUGCAUGUCCAAAAAGAAAAGCCAUAAACUUAGCAGAAAGAAUUCGAAGGACGGUUCUACUCAACUUUUGCUACAAAUGGCAGAUCAAUCAGGGAACCCUCCUUCCCCAUCAGGACAGGUGGUCCUAGAAAGCCCAUCUUCAUCCGGAAAAUCAGAAGGAAGAGGAACUAAUGAGGAAUUACAGGCUACUAUGAUACAAGUGUUAAGGAGUAUGGAAAAAAUCUCUUUGGAAACCAAGGGGGAAGUCAGUAGACUGUGUACCUUAACAGGGAAUUUACAGAGAAGGCUAGAUCUGGAGUUUUCCACUCCAAAAGGUGCUCAAAAGAGUGGGAUGAGCCAGGUUACCAUUAGAAGUGAGCCAGUCAUUCCCCUAUUUCCACUAUUAGAAGAAGAAAAGGAUAGGGGAAAGAAGAAAGCAGUUCCUGAAGGAAGUCAACCCGUGAUAGAGCCAGUUCUAGAGAAGGAAUUUCCUACCUUCCCAUUAUUGUCAUUUAAUAAUAGGAAGCAAAGCGAGCAAGAGAGGAUGAGAUAUGGGAUGCCCAUAACAACAUGAGAAUUUAGCCAAAAAGAAAGUUCUGCAGCUUCGAAUAAACCUCUUCCUUACAGGCCACCCCCAUUGGCUCAUAAGGGAGGAGGAGCCAACUGGAGGAAGCCUGAAUCAAAGAAAGAAGCGUUCACGGCUAAUGAUCGAAGCCCGAGGAACGAGUCCGCCCUUCUCUUCAAUAAUAAUAAUAUAGCUACUCAACAACUAAGGGAUGAGUUGGCUGAAUUGAGAAGGGCAGUGGUUCAAAAUGCUCAACCACGAGCUCGCCCAGUGUUCAGAGUUACUUAUCAAAAGCCUUAUCCUGAACACAUUGACGAACAAAAUCCAUUUCCCCUCAACUUCAAGAUGCCCGUGUUCCCAACGUUCACGAGUGAAGAUAGCAGUGUAUCCUCCAAAGACCACAUUUUCAAAUUCUCUAAUCACUGUGUGGCAUAUGAAGACAACCCAAACUACAAGUUAAGGUUGUUUGGAAAUUCAUUGGCGGGGCUAGCAUCUCAGUGGUAUUCUUUAUUACCCCCUAAUUCUAUUGCCAACUGGGGGCAAAUGGAGAUGGCUUUCCAUGAACAAUUUUAUAGAAUAGAACCAGAAAUGACUAUUAAUGAUCUGGUUGAAGUAAAACAAUACGAGCAUGAGUCCACAGAAGACUUCAUGAUAAGGUUCAAGAAGACAAGGAUGAGGUGCCAAUUCCCGGUUAACCAAGCUCAGCUCAUAUCAAUUGCUCAAAGGGUUCUGAGAUUACCUUUGCGGAAAAGAUUUUAUGAUACACAGUUUAAUGAGCUACAUGAAUUGGUCAUUGCUGCCAUAAAAUAUGAAAGACUAUUGCUAGAAGAACAGCAAGUGAAGCAUACUUCCAAAGCUACUCCCUUCUACAAAAACAAAGCUGCAAUUCAUCGAGUGGAGGUAGGAGAAAUCAGGCUAGAGCAGGAAGAUAGCCAUGACAGAGAGGAAGUUGAGGUAUGUGCCGCUGAGAUGACUACGCCUUUCAAACCAUUAACGGUGAAAGGAUUAGUUCAACCCAUCAAAGAUCAGAAGAUUGUGAUGAACGAUGGAGGCUUUGAUCCGAUGAAACCUCCCAAGUACCAGAGCUAUUCGUUCGAUUUAGCCAAAGCACCUGAGAUUUAUGAAGAGCUGGUGCGGGCAAGGGUAAUUGUGUCCGACAGUGCGAAAAAAAUGCCCAAACUAGAAGAGCUAAGGGGAAAGAAGUAUUGUAAGUUACACUAUACCUUCAACCAUUCUAUAACUAAUUGUGUCCAGUUCAGAGACUGGAUACAAGACCUUAUAGUGAAGGGAAAGUUGUUACUUGACAAGCCACAAGCUAGUAUAAUGGUUGAUACUAAUCCGUUCCCAGAAGCUCCUAUCAACACAAUCCAUCUAGUUUAGAUGGAGAAGCCAGUAUCAUCAGUUGUUAAGGUAGAGAUAGAAGAUGAAUCUCAGGGGUCCCACAACACCCUUGCUCGAAUAAAGUGCCAGGAGAGGGACCAAGAGGUCAUGAUCCUAUUCCAAAAGCAGUGCUGGUAAAUGAAGCAGAAGAAAGGAAAUAAUAAGCAAGGGGCAAAGAGUUGCCCGAAAGAAGUUCAAACAAGGACCAGAAGCAAAGCAAAAGGCAAACAUGUUCAUUCCACUAAAAAAGGGAUUACAAGUAACCCUAAUCUAAUAAAUUUACAUCUCCACUCAGGGUGAUUAUUCGAGAAUGAUAUGUCUGCAUGAUUGCAAAAAUCCUACUAGGUUCGGCCAACACAGUGCGACUAUUUACGAGUUGAGACUCGGUAUGCUCUAGCUCCGAGUUUGAUUUCUUCACUUCUUCAAUUUGAUUUUCGAGGGUGUCAAGAAAAGUUGCUUGCUCAGCCUUGAGAACAACCAGUUGUUCUUCUAGCUUCUAGAUUUCAGAAGUCACUACUUCGAUCCUUGCUUUUGUCAGAGAGCCGUCAUUCAUCAAUUUUUUUACCUGAGCAGAAGUGUUUGAUUUUUUUCUCCUGGAAACAUUUUACGCGAUUAGCUUGUCGUUCAGCUCUCAUAUGUUGAUCCCGGAGAGCCCUCAAGUUCUCAAAGGAAGAAAGAAAUGAGUCAUGCUGAGUUUUUUACAGUUGACCAGCUUUGAAAAGAUCAUUCGUAACCUUUUCCAGGUCACAGAGAGCUUUAAGGCUGAAUGAUGCUGAGAAGUCUUUCCUUGCCCAUUCUUGGAAAAUUCGUUGCUGCUCAGGAAAGUCGGAAGGUGAAGGAUGCUGUGAAGAUUUUAGUCUUGUUUCAAGUUGCCCGAAUUCUUUAAAAAGCUUGGGCAACUUAGCAGCUUUUGAAAAAGGAGAAGCAGGAGGGGGAUUUUGUUCUCCAGUUUCCUCUAAUGAAGUAAUGGUUAUUGGUGGGGCAGUUUUCAGCUCCCCGACCUUCUCAAUUCCAGGAUGGGCAAUCCCGGCACUCCCAAUAGUCAAAUGUGGCUGCGAAGGCUUUGACUUACGAACUAAGCGAGGAGGAGAAGCUUCUUCCACAAUUUGCUGCAAAGGCCAAAGAAGGCCAAAUUAAGACAGAAAAACAGUUUGAAGCAAAGGGAGGUGUCGGGAAGAAGAAAUAUACCUGACUAAGCCUUGGAGCUUCACAAGGAAGGGUGUUAAUUCCUGUUGAGAAGAAGGUUCUCUACCAAUGAUAGGGGAAGAAAAAGCUGCACCUGAGCCUUCACCAAUACUCUAGAAGUAUCCAGAAAUCACGGCAAUUAUUAGUAAGCAGAUGGUAAGAGAAUGACCGGAGGAAGAUAUCUCCUUACCUGAGUUCGACCCGGAGAAGAUGAAGGAGGUUCAUCAAGAGUAACUGUCGGGCAAGCAAAAACCUACAGAGUAGUUGCAUCUGAAGUCACAGGAAUCUUAGGAGCUACAGGUUCGUCACAUGUUGCUACUGACGGGUGUUGAGUGUUAUGUGGUGAAGAAGGCUGAAAAAAGAGGUAAACAGAAGUUAAUAUUGAAACAAUGUAUGGGAAAUCAAUGCAAGGAUGGUUACUCACUAAAUUACUGUCUUCAUCCACGAAGUGCAACAUUACUCCAGUAGAUGGAUCAAAUUGAGAAGAAGGAGUUGCUUUUAGGACAUAAGGAGAAAUCAAAGGAGAACCUUGACUAUGCAAGGGGGUAGAUACCCCAACCUGGAUGAAGUUGAAAGAAGAACGAAGAUCAGGCAUUAGUUCCAUAAAUUAUAAGAGUUACCUAAAGAAGGAAGGGAAUGUACCUCCGAAGGAUUAACCCAGGGGGGAGAAAGGCUGGUUUCUAGGCUAAGUGGUAAAGAGACCUCGGGCGGAUGAAGUUUUUCCUUUCUAGCAGCCUGACUCAAGAAAACAUGCACAGAGUUGUAAAGACAGGAGAGACUAUGCAGACAUAAAAAGUAAACUAUACCUCAAGUUCUUUGAGGGUGAUGUUUCGCAGGUCUUCAGGUUUUUUGUGCAUUUCGGCUCCUAAUGGUUCAUCCUUAGAGGCGAUGGUUGGUUUCUUUGAUGCUUAAGGUCCUAUGUUCAAGAAGAAACAUGAGUAACUAAGUAGAAAAGAAAGGUGGCAAUCUGAUAGAAAAGAAGACAACUUACUUGAAGACUUUUAUUUCUUUCUACCCGCUUCAGGAACCGGAGCAGGUGGGUCUGAAGACUUGAGAGUCUGGACGAUUCUGGUUCUCUUACUCUUUCUGGUGGGAGUAGGAAUUCAUCGUUUAGACUUGGGAGGAGAUGCAUGAUCAGAAUCAGAGGUCUCAAUCACAACUGUUUUCCUUCGCUUAGAUACUUGGAAGGUGGCUUCAGGCGCUUCUCUUUUAGCUCUUAAAUCUUCAGAAACAUCCCCACCUUCCCCAGCUUCUCAUCUUUUAGCCUCCGCCGCAACUCCAUGAAGAACUGCUGCAUCAGCCGAGUCAUCCUCGGACUCCGAAGGUACUGAUUCAACAUCUACUUGGGCUGCAAGGAUGAGCAAGGAAAAAGUUAAAAGGACUUCAGGGAAAAGGAUAGAGAAUCAAGAUAAGAAGAAGAAAUACUUAUCAGAAGAAUCCGAUUCUUCUCCUGGAUCAUCUCAUUCCAAUUCUCAAGUUCGCCCGAACUGGGGUAUGAUUUUAGAGAAAGUUGACUGAAGAGGCGAUUAUGAGCCUCUUUCAAAUCUCCUCCAUAUUUCCUUGCCCAUUUGUCUUCCCACCAAGAAGAGAAGAGUGAGGUGCAUUCAAAAUUAAGGAUCAUGGACUUUCGGGCAGCUUGAUUCAUAACUUCAAGAUUACGUCGGGCAGCUCGAAAGACCACCUCGGAGGGAGAUGAUAAACGAAAGGAAGUGCCAUAAUGAACGGAGUCAAAGAAAGGGAUGGGAAUGGCUUGCCUAAAGCCUAAUUGCCUGCUACAAAAGUUAGGGUGAUACACCUCUAACCCUCGAUCAUAUCGAUUGCCCCGAACUCCCCAGGCCAUGUCUCUCGACUGAAUGCAACUAAUGAAUUUUUCCCUGCAAAAGGGAGUGACAUCCUCCCCAGGAGCAUCUUGAAAAGCCUGAUCAGAGAACCAAAGAUAUCUCCUCAAGACUGAUGCACCCCAUUCUAGGUCUGAUCGAGUCCUACAAACCUAGAAAAAAUAGAAACAGGCAAAGAUGGAGUGAUCAGUAGGAGCAGCUUCAACUAAGAUUCGGGCAGGAGCCACACCUUCUGGGAGUUCUAAAUUAGUAGCCCGAAACUCUGGAAAGUACCAUUGGAGCCAGGUUUGUAUCAUUUAUAUGGGUCCAUUCAGGUUAGUUUCAAAUGGUUCGCCUUAGGUCAUUUCGAAGAGAAGAUGGUAAAGAUGGGAAAGAAGAAAUUGACCUAUUGCUACAUUAUCAAAGUUAUGAAGAGCUUCCACCAGGGGGAUCCAUUCAACCUUCACUCCUUUAGAUUUAUUGGGGAAAACAUGUUUGUUGAGCCAGUAUAGGAGGAAAUACAUGUGCUCUUGAUCCCUAUCAGCAUGAGGAGAACCUGCUCCAAAAUUUUCUUUUACAAAAGGGAUGAAUCCCUUGAACGAGGUCCCGUAACUCUUGAAGGUUGCAAAGUUAUAUUCCAGGGAGAGGAAGGAAGCGGAUGAACCUGAGCUUUCAGCAACUGAUGGGAGAGCCCAGUCUUGAGUAACAUCUACUAUCUUGCCCGAUGGCCUUAACCUGAAGACCUGGGCCAUAUCAAGAAUAGUUGGAAACAUGGGACCCAUGUGGAAAUCAAAAGUGUUUGUGCUCGAAUUCCAGAAAAGAAGAUAAGAGGCCAACAGUUCGGGUUUAGGAAUAAUGGUGGUUUUCGAGAGCAUUAUCAACUCGUAAAUACCAUUAUUCAUCCAUUUCUUCUUAAAAAUUGGCUCUAGUUCGUCAAUCCAUUGAGUCCACGCUGGAUCAUUCAUUAAUGGAAAGCCUCGAUGAUAUGAUGACCACUUGGAUGAAGAAAUGCCCGACUUAGCUGAAAAGGGGUUUGGGGAAAACCAGUUAUCCUUAGGCAUAUUGUCCUCUAUCACUGUGGGGACCUGAGAGAUCCAUGCGGGACCCAACGAUUGUACCCCAUGUACUUCAAAGAAAAGUUCAGAAUACAAACCUGCCCGAGGGCGAUGCAAGUCGUUGAGUAAACGACGCAAAGUGGCGAUACCUUCACCAGACUCAUAGGAUGGUUGGAUUAAACUGGACCCUGAAGCCACUUGAUGAAAUAUGGAAAAGGGACGGCAACAAAGGCGAUGAAGGUAGAAGAUGUCGAGCAAGGGUCAGCGGAGAAAUUGAAAGAUUUAGAAAAGAAAAACGUCUCAGAGUUAGGAAAUUUUCGAUUGUAGAAGAAGAAUGUAAGGGAUUCGUGAGUGGCUAGAAUAACUGUGGGAAGGCGGUGAUUGCUGUUGAAAAGCAUGUAAAUCCCUAGAGAGAAGACGUAGAUAUUAAUAGAGAGUUAUUCAAUCAAUAUUGGCGCCUGGAAUUCCAGUCUGAAUAUUGAUUGAAAGGGGCACUGUUUGGGUUAAAACUUAAAUCUUGGGCUUAGAAGGGAGUUGGCCCAACGAAGAGGAGAAAAGCCCGAAGUCCAGCCCAAAUCCAGAAGGCAGAAAAGGGCUUUCCCGACUAGGUGCAUGUCAUUUGCACCACUUGCUCACCUAACCAAGGGCCAAGUGGUAUAGACCUGCCAGAUGAUCAGCCCAAAAGUACUUUACAGUGGCAGUACAAGUAAAUAGCUGAUGAGUCACUACCCUUCAAGCUGUAUUCAGGCAAGGUUGCUGCUACAGGAAGACAAGCCGAGUUGUCUAUAAAAGAAGAAAGAGAAAUCAGGAAUAAAGACACUCAAUCAAACAAACAAAUACAAGCACAAACUCUGCUCAAACCAGAUUUGCCUUCAAAACGAAGCUGUAGUCAGCCCAAGCCUUCAUCCUUCUCGGGAUAAACCUUUGUAAUAGCUUUGCUACCUGGUCAAGAACCUACUGUAGUAUCGAUUUCUUUCUACAAACCCAUCUCCCUACCCUUUUUUUGAAAGUUCUCAACCUCCUUGACAAACCACAAAGAUAGGAAGUUACAAGACGAUCAGCCUUGGCCGACAAGGUUAAACCUCCCGACCUUCUUUGUUUUUGUCUUUUCAUUCAUUAGCCUAACAAUAUGUUGUAUACUACAAGUUGUAUUCAAGUUAUCUCUAGUAAUAUGGCUAUUAAAAGACUCUCUCAGCGCUUAAAUUCGAGUUGAAUAUGUCUUUAUAGUUCAAACCGGAUCUAAGUUCUAAGCCCUCGGGCAUGUAAGAUUUGAUCAUCCAAAAGUCCUUGGCCUCAAGGCAUAAAAAAGAACCUUAUGUGGACUUAACCCAUCCAUGACAAGCUUUGAUAAACAAGAAGUCCGAAGUUACUUGGGGCGCAAGUAAUCGAUCUAUCACCUAGUUUUAUUUCUAUUAUAUUAUGAUUACUAUAGAACGUUGAGUAUAGAAUGAAUUCUGAUGGGAAGCCUCAAGGCCUACACCUAAGGCCCUACAAAGGCACCUAUUUGGAUUCAUUCUGUCCUUCGGGCUAGAACGAUGAGUAUAGAAUGAAUUCUGAUGGGAAGCUUCAAGGCCUACACCUAAGGCCCUACAAAGGCACCUAUUUGGAUUCAUUCUGUCCUUCGGGUUCAGAUAAUCAGAAGUAUAAUGGUUAUAAGAUUUAUAUAACCAAGGAAACGAACCAUAUGUAUAUAUUCAAAUACUAAGUUAGUUAUUAACGGGAAGCAUCAAGGCCUACACCUAAGGCCCCACAAAUGCACCUGUCAUAACUAAAGUAGUCUCUUGGGUAUGUAUACAAUUAAAAUUCAACAAUCGUUCUACAUCUGCCAUGCUGAAGAUGGUAGUGGCACGCCUGAGCACUUAAAAGUUAAUCUUGAUUGUGAGCCUCAAGGCCUACACCUAAGGCCCCACAAAGGCACCUUUCAAAGUUAACUAUGUCCUUCUCUUUCAGCCUUGCCCGACUAGGCUUUGAUCGACAAGCCCGCCAGUAAAGCAGAAGCCCGACAUGAAGCAUCAACCGGCACCGACCUCUCGGGGAGCUGUGUGCUCGUCGGCCAGGGAACAUCCCCGACGGAAAUUCCUGCCACGAACACAAACGCACUCUGGUGUGGCGAGAUAAUAGUAGAGAACAUCCCUUUGAGGCACUUAGCUAACACUUUAGCCGCUAUCUUAUACAUUACACUGCAUAAGCUAAUUGGCUUUAAUUGGGUCAUAUCUUGAGGUUCGUUCACUUUUAGUACAAGCAUAACAUGCGUAAAGCAAGCUUCACGUAAUAAAUGACCUGAACUCAGGAAAGAUUGAACUGCCUCUACCACAUCUGUCCCCACAAUAUGCCAAAAUUUAUGAUAGAAGAGUGGAGACUUCCCGUCGGGUCCCGGAGACUUGGAAUGAUGCAUUUGAAGCAAAGCCGACCUAAUCCCCUCUUCCGUAUAUGUCAAACUUAAACUAUUAUUUUCAGAGUUGUAAUAAGUAUUUUUAGAAAUAAUAAUAAUAAUAAUAAUAAUUGUUUGGACCAGAAAUUACAUCUUCGGCCUGUACAAUCAAGGCCGUUGAAUGGGCGUAGCUCAUAACCGUUGGAUGAAAAGAAGUGAAGAUAAUUUUGUAAUUAUUGAAGGAUAAUAUUGUGAUUUUUAUCAUAAUUAUCUUUUAAUAGUGAUUUAUCUUGUCUUUUUCUUAUGAAAGAUGGAAAAUAUAUCUCAGGCUGGAAACAAGCGGCACGAUUCGAAUUGGUUUGAAUGUGUGGUUUGGAUCAAUUUUGGUUGACGGAUCUGCAUGCAUACGAUGAGGUUGAGGGAAAAAAUGGUGAUAUGCUUGGGAAAUAAUUCUACACGUGGUGGCGAUAAGAUGGCAAAACAAUUGUUGGGACACAUGGUCUUCAUGCAUGCAUGGGAAACUUGCGGAUUGGGUGAAUUCCAAUAGGUAAUUGGAUAGACAUCUGCAACGUGUAGGGCAAAUAAGCAUUUGAGAAAAGCAAGGUGAUUGUUUUGAGAAUUGAAUUGCCGUGUGUGGCUUUCCAACUAAUGUAGUGAUGGGAUAAAAGAUAAAGUCAAAGGUUGGAAUAAACUAGAUUAGCAUACAGAAGUCCCAUUUGCCGUCCAGAUCCGUAUGGUGUCGUCAUUUCGUGUCUCAGAAUAUUCCAUUACUAGGUCUCCAGAUGCAAUUGAAACGUUCUGCUUAUCAUCCAGGCCACGGUAAAUACGUACAUCAGUCCUAUAAAUACAGAGGAAGUGCAACAUUCAAAAGGACCCCCAAUUUAACACACAACUGCCCUAUGCAAACUCUCUCAACAACUUGAGAUUUUUUAUUUUCCAUUUUCGCUGACACAUCUUCCGUUGGCAUCAACAGCACUGUGAAAGCAACCGGUGAUAUCUUAAGUCGGCAUAGAUAGCUCUAUCACCGUAGAAUUAGCCGAUCUCGCAGUAUCUUCCGUUGGCAUCAACAACACUACGACGAGGACGGUUGGUUACCUAUCCAAGUCUCGGUCGAGAAGGAUUUCCGAAUCCUUAUUGGUCGAGGUCAUCUCAUUAGCCUUCUCGGCGAAGUGAGGUGUUACAAGUUAUUACAUUCGGCACAUUGAAAGCCGAAUUUGAUAUUGAACUUUGUAAGAAUAGUAGCCUUGUCUUCAGGUUCGAGAACCCAAGAGGCCGAGACGUGUUCCUUCCUCGGCCGCAAUCGCAAGACGCAGAAGUCAGCCGCGCACCCAACGCAACAUCAACAAAUUUACUCCUCGGCCGAGCUCGGCCAACGAGUUGGCACGCCCCGCACACAACCGAAGGACGUAGUUAGCUCAUAGAUUACUUGGCCUGCGCUCCAUGUAGGCUUGGUAGUUUUUAGGAUCAACAAUAAUAAUAAUAAUGAUGAUGAUGAUGAUGAUAAAAAUGUUUAGGAAUGUGAUCAUGUAAAUCCUAUCAUAUCUAAGAUAUCCUUAUGGGAUUCUACCAUAUCUCUUAUACUAGAUAUUAUCCUAUUAGAGUUGUCAUCCUAUUAGGGUAAGGAAUUUACCUUCCCUACUACUAUAAAUAAAGGCACAAUAGGGUGAGAUAACAUACAUCUCACAAUUACACAUCUCUCUUCUCUCUCUGUUACUGCCACGCCCCAUUUCUCUGUCCUUUAUAAUGAUUCAGUAAAUUAGGCCUACAACACAUUAUCAGCACGCUCUUGACAUUGCGCUAAAAAGAGUUUAUUCUUCAGUCAUGAGAGUAUUACGUUUUAAUCAUCCUUUUUAUGAUUAAUUUAUUAUUUUAUUGAAUUCAUCGACAUGCUAUUCAUUAAAUUUAAUUUUUCUUUGUUGAACGUGAUGCAAUGCAUUGGAGAUGCAAUUCCGGCUUUUAGAGAAGGAUCUUCUACAAAUUCAAAGGCCCUAUUGUUUUCUGCCAAUCAGGUUCUUUUAAAAUAAAUUAAGAUAAUUGAAAUGUCCAUGAAGCAUGAAAAUAUUCCUCCUAAAGCAUGAAUCCCCUACAUUUAUAUUUUCCUUUUGAUAUAUAUAUAUAUAUAUAUAUAUAUAUAUAUAUAUAUAUAUUGUAUAUGUUCAUAUAUUUUUCAAUAUGUAUACGUUUAUGCAUUACGCAAUUAUAAAUCGGUAUGUGGAAUUUGUGAGCCAAAGAAUCGAAAGAAAAUAGAAGUAAUUUUGGGUUUUUCCAAACCCUAGAAUUCGAAAAAGAAAAUAGAAAAAAAAAUCUGGGAAUUGUGUCGAAGCCUUGGUUGGCUUGCAGCCAAGCCGCGUUGAGCCACACCUAGAACGACAUUGUUUCAAUGUUUAGUGAAAACAGCAGCCCUCUUGGCAAACCAGGCCGAACGCCUGGGUUCUUCACGAUUGGGCCUGCAGUCUCAAUCUAUGCCCUCCUCAUCAGAAGCCAACCUUGCUAGUCUUCUGCCUCCAGCCAACACUCAAGCCUCCAGCAGCUGACUGGGCUUGUUCCCCUAAUUUUUCCCUCGACCUGUGUUACAGCAGCAUGCCUACUGCUACAGAUUUAUUUUUUUCCCGGCCCCGCUCUCUUUUAUCUCUAUAGCCUGCAGUUGCAUCACUGGACCUUUGUGACUUGGCCCAAUCGCUGCUUUCUCACUGCAACAGCUGUUGUUGGGCUUACAGAUCCAGCAGCCCGCACCAGUCUGACUUACAGCAAGCAACCUGAUGUUGUUGGGUUGUUCUUGUUCUCAGCCUAAAGCCAUUUUUGGCUUUUUUUUUCAACCCGCACCCAUUUAUUUUUUUGGUGCCUAAUUUCAUGGCUUUAACCUAUUUUAAAGUCUUUGCUUUUGCAUGUCAUGCAACCAUCUAGCCCAAUAUAUGGCCUAAAACUUUGCAUUAUUUUGCUUUUACAAUCGACCCCGAAUGGUCUCGAUUUAUUGAAUUAAUUAUUAGUGACCAGCAGUCCAUUAAUUUGACAAGAUAUACAAAAUUAUUUGCCUGAAGCCCACUUUUGGACAUUAACAUUUCAAUAUUUUAUUUCUUUUCUUUGAAUUGAUGACUCCCUUUCAUAGUCCCAAAACACUCACAAUUGAGUUCCUAAAGCAAUUUUGUAUAUUAUAUUCUAUUUUCUUACAGGUACCUCCGUUUAUGAACUGGAAGUUCAUAACUAAAUUUGAACCUAUAGUUUCGACUUUAGUGCCUAUAAAACCCGAAAUUUUCAUAAAACAAUACAACAAUGAAAACCCGACGUUUUUCAUGUACACCAUGUCUUAGAACUUGAAAUGUUCGAACUUUGAUGCUUAUGGAUAUCAUAUUUCAAUAGCACUAAUCAUAAUCUUGUUCUUUCCAUUCAAUGGAUUGUCAAACCGUCACAAGUUCGAUUUCCUUGAUUUGGACGUUUCUAACAGAAACCACUUUAUGUGGGUACAAGACUUGAAUCUUCACUUGACUAUCAAGAAGUUGAGAAACCAUUGAAGCCAACAAUGCCAUGGAACAGCCGAAUAAGCCUUUGCCAUAAUCUUCACUUGAAGAUUUAUGCCUGAAGCAUUACAAACGGAAAUACCUUCCAAACGAGGAUUCCAUGCUUUUUGGCUCGCUCUUAUGGACCGUUUAAUCAUGAUAAAUUUUUCCUGAAGCACACCAUGAUUACGUCGAUGAAUGAGUACGAUUAUGAAGUUUAUAAAUCUGAUCAAAUUUUGACUGGAGAACACUUAUCAUCCUUCCAUGUUUCUAACUCGUUCCUGAAGUAAUAGUGUAGAAAGCAGAAGUUUACCAAAUUCUCGGAUCUUAUUACUACCAUAAAUGUGAGAGACCAGUAUAGACUCAACUUCGGCUGUAGUCUACCGAAUGGUGAUACCCAGUUUCGGUUGGGGCCCACUGAAAUGUAUGCUCUGCUUCGGCAAAAGCUUACCAAACAAACCUCUCCAGCUUCAGUUGGAACCUUUCAAACCCAAGUUUGGGCUUGUCUAUCUCAUAAUCCAAUUUCAAGUUUUUUUUAGUUAUGGAUGAUCUUAUCGAUAUUGUCUUCGAAUAUGAGUUAAUUGACCGAAUUCAAUUAAACACGUGGGAGAGUUGUCUGGAUGAAUGCAAUACUAUGCACACUAACUUUAUACCUAAAUCACAUCUCUAGCAACGACUUCAGAUCUAUCCAACAUGAUUAAGAGCAUUGGCACACUCCUUGUUGUAUGAAUGGUACUAAAUUACCAUUUAAGAGACAUUAUAUUCUCCCUGUUCCGAAAGAACAUCGUUAAGUCUUUACGGAUAUUCGAGAGAACAAUGAUCAACAAUGAAACCACUGAAGAAAAUAGAGUGGAAUAUCUUUGCGCCACCUCAAAAAUACAAAGCCUGAAUCUAUAUUUUGGGGCCAAGGGGUUGCCUCCUAGCUGGGAUGCGCCACAUGUGGCCGGCCUAGAGCCGGGUGAUUGAGCACUUUGCUUUCUUUGGCACGACCAUUUAGGACACUUAGGUCAAACAAUGAUGCUGUGACGCAUGUUCUUACCCGAAGUAAGGAUAUUAUGCUUACAAGCACACUUUGCCAAGCUCACUUGUUUAGGAAAUUUGAUCUUUUAUAUCAUCCCUCAUAAAGAUACGAAAUCACCUUCUUUUCACAGUGGAUUCAAGGAAAUAUAUAUAGACCAAUCCAACCAAAAUGCGGACCAUAUAAAUACUUAUGGUUUUGGUUGAUGUAUUGACAAAAUGGUCACAUGUUUGUCCACACACAUUGUUGCUUAACCUCUUGGCUAAUUCUAAGGGUUCACCACCCUAAUUAUCCCAUAAAGUCUAAAAGACUGGAUAAUGCCAGAGAGUUCAUAUCAAAGAUGCUUAGAUAAGUACUGCAUUUCUUUUGGGUUUAUAAUUGGACAUUGAAUUCCCAUGUUCACCCUAAAAUAGCCUCGCAGAGCAAUUAUAGAAGCGCAAUUUAAAUGAUCAGCUGAACCUUGGUGAACACACCAAUCUUUCUACUUUUGCCUAGGGCUAUGCAACCUUUACGCAGCUAUAAUGGUCCGCUUUAAGGCCCAUUAACACCCAACCAUUUCUAGUGUUACAGUUAGUUACUGGGUACAAACCUAACGUUUCAUACUUACGCAUUUAGGUGUGCAUUCCAUGUGCCAAGUUGUUCUGCCGCAACAUACCAAUAUGGGUCCUCAAAGAAAGAUAUGAAUACUUGCCGAUCAUGAUUCUCAUUCGCACUAGCUCUUUAGAGCCCUUGCAAGCGAUCAUUUUACUGUUCAUCUUGUGGAUUGUUACUUCAAUAAGACAGUCUUCCCACUAUUAAGGGAGAUAAAAGCAUCAAUGUUCUUGUACAAAGGCGUGAAUUUGCAUGGAUGUUGUCCACAAUGUCUCAUCUCGAUCACCAUGCCCAUAAGUGUGAUAUAGGCAAGUUCGAUGUAAUCUAGCUUUCAGAAUGUUGCUCCAGACGUAUUCCUCUAAUCUCACUAAAGUGAUGAGACCAUAUACAUGCUGCAAAUAGACCUGCAAGGAUAGAUGUACUUAACGAAUGUCGAGUCAACAUCCUUGAAAGAUGUGCUGCCCCUGAAGGAUGUGCCACCCCUAACCCCUAAAGGACGGUUUGGCUGCACCUGUUGGACGGUCUAGUACAUUAGCAGAUAGCCAAAUAAUCUGUCUUGACCUGAAGCAUGCCAGAUCACUCGGUUCAUAGGAUUCACUUACCUAGAAGAGUAAGGUCAUGUCACGAAAUGAAUCCAUGCUCGAUCGCUCUCUCAAUCAUUUUCACCUUAUGAGAUUAAUCCGGAUUACUCCUGAGACUUGAAAUUCUUGGUCCAGUAUACUAGUUUGGAUAAGAUAAUGGAAUUGGAAUGAUCUAUUAGUAAAGAUACAUCACCGCCCCUACACGCGACCGCUGAAGGUACUACGGAUUUACGCUAAUCCUAAUACAUCCCGAGCGGAUUCGACCCCCUGGUCUUUGGAAUGAUGUUUACCUUGUUUGUUAUGUUGUCACUGAUUACGUAUCAAACCCGCAUAAGUCACAUCCCUACACGAUUAUGUUUUUACUGUUAGGGAUAUCAUAAUAUCUUGGAGGUUCACGAUAUGACCUUAGUUGCAAAAUCUUUGAAUCAUUCCAAGACUCACCUAACUUCACUAUGCCACACGUGAGACAUGGUUGAGAGCUCUUAUUGAGCAUAUUCAAAGUACAUGCUGUUUUCAUUCAUCGUUGAUUCCUGAUGACGAUCCAUGAAGACUAUGCCACAUGUAUCCACCUGACCAAGACAAGAUACAUCAACAAAGUCAACUCCAAGACAUAUUGCGCCUACAUCAUAUCAGUAAAGCAUUAGGAGAUUGAAGUCAUGCAAGCUGAUCCUAGACAACCUUGCCAACCUCUACACGACGUCACUACCGAAGUCAACCUUCCAGAACCUUGUCCGAGGAAUUGGUGUGCCUAAUUAUUCAUACACAAUGUUUGUAGUUCUCAUUUCACAGUUUUGUCAUACUCAGGGGGAGUAUCCAUAAGUAUACUCACUUGAUCUUAAUGUACUCUUUUUCCUUACAAUUAGGAGCAAUUUUCCCACUGGGUUUUUUUACCUAACUAGGUUUUGAGGAGGCACCCAUCCUGAAGCUGGUCAUACCCUUGUGAGCUAUUCUACUUGAUCUAGAAGAUGUUUAGUUUUGACUUAAUGCAACUUCUCACUUUUCUCCUUACUCUAUAGGUUUUUCUCCCACAUUGGGUUUUACCAUAGCGAGGUUUUGUAAGCUUUCCUUUUUAUGCAUUCUUUCGUUGAUUUGAGACUCUCAUUCAUUCAUUGUGCCGACGACUUCAUCAGCUGUUUUUACUUUAUUGCUGAAGACCUGAUGCACCAUUUACUUGAGUAUUUACAUGCUCAAGGGGAAGUGUUGUAGUCCUAUUAGAUUAGGAAUGUUAUCGUGUAAAUCCUAUCAUAUCUAGGAUAUCCUUAUGGGAUUCUACCAUAUCUCUAAGACUAGAUAUUAUCCUAUUAGAGUUAUAAUCCUUUGGGGUAUAUUGGGGUAAGGAAUUCACCUUCCCUACUACUAUAAAUAAAGGCACAAUGGGGUGAAAUAACACACACCUCACAAUUACACAUCUCUCUCCUCUCUCUGUUGCCGCUGCACACUCUCUCUUUGUCCUUUAUAAUGAUUUAUAAAUGAAGCACCACGAGAAAAUGGAAGACAUCGCCAACCACCAUUGGUUAACACCACCUCAUCUAAAUGGGAAUGAACAAAGCUUCCCAUUUGGGGUUUAAGAUCACUUGUCCAUCUAUAUGGCACUGAACCCCACAGGUAAAGACAAGUAGGAUGGUGAAACGAUGCAUUAUGUGGGUAAAUCCCAUAUGGAUCAGGAUUGCUUUCAGCAUAAUGUCUAGAAAAGUAUGGAAGCAGGUUGCUGCCUUGGGAAAGGAAUGAGGAGCUCCACUGUGCAUGUGGGAUCCAAAAGGAUCGCCAUAUCUAGGAUAGUUCUUUGAAUUAUGCCCGGAAGAGUGUGGAGUGUAUGUAUAAAAUGUGGAGUUUAUGUUGAGAGCGUAGGGUGUGAGGAUAUUAUGGGAAAGUAUGCGGGUUAUAUUCAACAAUAUGUGGUGUAUAUGAAGAUAAAUUUUAAUUAAAAAAGAAAGUGUGUGGUGUAUUAAGUAUGUGAGGUGUAUUCAACAAUAUGUGGAAUGUCAAUAGAACAACCCUUUAUUAAUCAAUAAAAAUAGAUUUAGUGUUGCUGUCUAAUUAGGUACCAAUCACAUUUACUGUUAAUCUACAUCAAGCCACAUAAGAAUUGACAUUUCUGUUGGAAAAUAAUAAUGUUGUUUUUUUCUUUACUGUUAUUGGUGAUGUGACAUUUUUUACUACAUCAUUUCUUUUGUUUACUACCAAUAUCUAGCAAUGGCACACUCGCUCACAUGAUUGCUUUCAAGUCUUGUAUUGGCACCGAAGGUAAAAAAACACUCAGGACAAACAAUUUAUUGAAGUGACCUAGACCAACCAGACAGUAAGAAUAUUCUGACGAUGUAGGUCAUAGUUAAUUAUGAAGGGCAUUUAUAAUUCCUCCUAUUAGUUCCAUCUAAUAAUUACUUUAGUCUAAAGAAAGGUUGGAAAUGGCACCGUUGAAAUGAACAGUGUUUCAUUCUGAUAUUUCUGUUGGUUUUGGGUCUGCAGCCUGGCCCUUAGCCAGGCUUAAAUGCGUUGGUUUUGGCUGGGAAGCUCGGCCCUCAGUAAGGCCCAGAUUAUUUAAUUACAUUUUUCCCAUCUAAGAUUACAAUCCUAAGGUGGGGAUGGUCUAUUACGAAGGGCAAUUGUGUCCUCUCCAUUUUGGGUGAGAUGAGGGUCACCGGGUAUGUAUCAUUUGUUGUAGUUCAAUUAGGGUUUUGAGAAGGGUCUGCGAGAAAGAGAGAUAGAGAGAAGGAGAGAGACACAGAGACAAAGACAGAGAUAGAGAUGGCGAUGGAAGGAGAGCAAGGGGAGGGGUAGGGGUAUCGACACUGUUUCUUAGUAUGUUAGGUCCAGUUUUGGGGGAUUUGUGAUUUUAUAAAGAGAGAUGGAUAGGGAGAUUGAAAUUGACAGAGGGAGGAGAAAGGUUGAUGCGUAGGGUCAGUGAGGUGAGUGACAGAGGAAAUUUGAUCUUCUAUAUCAUCCAUCACAAAGAUACGAAAUCAACUUCUUUUCACAGUGGAUUCAAGGAAAUAUUUAUGGACUAAUCCAACCAAAAUGUGGACCAUAUAAAUAAUUAUGGUUUUGGUUGAUGUAUUGACAAAAUGGUCACAUGUUUGUCCACACACAUUGCUGCUUAACCUCUUGGCUAAUUUUAAGGGUUGACCACCCUAAUUAUCUCAUAAGGUCUAAAAGACUGGAUAUUGCUGGAGAGUUCAUAUCAAAGAUGCUUAGAUAAGUACUACAUUUCUUUUGGGUUUAUAAUUGGACAUCGAAUUCCCAUGUUAACCCUAAAACAGCCUCGUAGAGCAAUCAUAGAAGUGCAAUUUAAAUGAUCAGCUGAACCUUGGUGAACACACCAAUCUGUCGAAUUUUGCCUAGGCUAUGCAACCUUUACGCAUCUAUAAUGGUCCGCCUUAAGGCUCAUUGACACCCAACCAUUUCUAGUGUUACAGUUAGUUACUGGGUACAAACCUAACGUUUCAUACUUACGCAUUUAGGUGUGCAUUCCAUGUGCCAAGUUGUUUUGCCGCAACAUACCAAUAUGGGUCCUCAAAGAAAGAUAUGAAUAUUUGUCAAUCAUGAUUCUCAUUCGCACUAGCUUUUUAGAGCCCUUGCAAGCGGUCUCUUUACUGCUCAUCUUAUGGAUUAUCAUUUCAAUAAGAUAGUCUUCCCGCCAUUAGGGGAGAUAAGAGCAUCAUUGUUCUUGUAGAAUGAUGUGAAUUCGCAUGGAUGUUGUCCACUAUGUCUCAUCUCAAUCGCCAUACCCAUAGGUGUGAUAUAGGCAAGUGUGAUGUAUUCUAGCUUUCAAAAUGUUGCUCUAGACGUAUUCCUCUAAUCUCACUAAAGUGACGAGACCAUAUACAUGUUGCAAAUAGACCUGCAAGGACAAACGUACUUAACAGACAUCGAGUCAACAUCCCUGAAAGAUGUGCUGCCCCUGAAGGAUGUGUCACCCCUAAAGGACGGUUUGGCUGCACAUGUUGGAUGGUCUAGUACAUUAGCUGAUAGCCAAUUAAUCUGUCUUGACCUGAAGCAUGACAGAUCACUCGGUUCAUAGGAUUCACUUACCUAGAAGAGUAGGGUGAUGUCACGAAAUGAAUCCAUGCUCGAUCGCUGUCUCAAUCAUUUUCACUUUAUGAGAUUAAUCCGGAUUACUCCCGAGACUUAAAGUUCUUGGUCCAGUAUACUAGUUUGGAUGAGAUAAUGGAAUUGGAAUGAGAUUAUCAUCAAUGAUGUUUUCACUUAUAUGGUAGCUACCUACGUAAAUGAAAAGCGACGAUAUUGAAACGUAUUUUGUUGAUUAAUGACAAUGCAGAACUGAUUGGAUAUCCAAAAUUAGAAUCCAGAUUAAAUUCCUUACCAAAGUGUUCUUGGACUUAUCAUUCCUACAUUGCCCAAGGUAACCCUGUUGUGUUACAAGUGGGAAAUGAAGCGAAUGAGAUGAAUGAAAUAAUGUGAUAUGAUGCACGCAUCACGGCAAAGUUUCUCUCAAACGCCCUAGGAUUGAUAACAGUAUUAUUGAAUGUGGUUAAUGUUUCUCCAUACGGAUAUUGAUACGGAGAUUGACAUGUAAGUUCACGAAGAAUUGCAUGGACUAGUUCAAAUAGUUCCAAACCACGGAACACCCUCUUAACUCUUUUGAGGCGUUCACUUACAGAUUGAAGCAAUUUGACGGAUGUCGUAUACCUGUCAAAGUGAUUAUUUGAUUAGGUAGGGAUAUGAAUUAUGCCUUUGCGUGUUAAACUAUGAAGUCAUAUUAAGAAUGCUAGAGUUACAGUUUAUAUUGUAGACUUGAAUCUCAUUAAGUAUCCGGAAGAGCUUGAGAAAACUGCCUCACACCUAAAGACAGAAUUUGAGAUGAAGGAUCUUGGGAAAACUCGUUUAUACCUUGACCUGAAGCUUAAGUGUUGUUAUGACGGUACUUUGGUAUACCAGUCGAAUUACAUCCCAAAUGUGUUUCCUUUUAGUAUACCUAUGAUCUUCCAUACGCUAUAUGCAAAUGAGACCCUUGAAGAGGUUAUGGAAUCUAAAGUUCCAUAUCUGAGUUCAACUUUGCGCUUUGUUAUACUUAGCUCAUUGCGUUAGCCAAGACAUAUCCUUUGCUGUUGAUUUAUUAGUAAAGAUGCAUCACCGUGCCUACAUGCGACCGCUGAAGGUACUACGGAUUUGGGCUAAUCCCAAUACAUCUCGAGCGGAUCCGACCCCUUGGUCCUUGGAAUGAUGUUUGCCUUGUUUGUUAUGUUGUAGCUGAUUACGUAUCAAACUAAUACAAAUCACAUCCCCAAAUGGUUAUGUUUUUACUGUUAGGGAUAUCAUAAUAUCUUGGAGGUUCACGAUAUGACCUUAGUUGCAAAAUCUUUGAAUCAUCCCAAAACUCACCUGACUUCAAUAUGCCACACGUGAGACAUUGUUGAAAGCUCUUGUUGAGCAUAUUCGAAGUACCUAUUGUUUUCAUCCAUCGUUGAGUCCCGAUGACGAUCCAUGAAGACUAUGCCACAUACAUCCACCCGACCAAGACAUUAUACAUCAAGAAAGUCAACUCCAAGACAUAUUGCGCCUACAUCACAUCAUCAAAGCAUUAGAAGAUUGAAGUCAUGCAAGCUGAUCCUAAACAACCUUGCCAACCUCUACAAGACGUCACUACCGAAGUCAACCUUCCAGAACCUUGUCCGAGGAAUUGGUGUGUCUAAAUUCAUACGCAAUGCUUGUAGUUCUCAUUUCAAAGUUUUGUCCAACUCAGGGGAAGUAUCCAUAAGUAUACUCACUUGAUCUUAAUGUACUUUUUUUCCUUACAAUUAAGAGCAAUUUUCCCGUUGGGUUUUUCUACCUAACUAGGUUUUGAGGAGGCACCCAUCCUGGAGCUGGUCAUACCCUUGUGAGCUCUUCUACUUGCAUCAAGAAGAUGUUAAGUUUUGACUUAAUGCAACUUCUCACUUUUCUCCUUACUCUAUAGGUUUUUCUCCCACCUUGGGUUUUACCAUAACGAGGUUUUGUAGGCUUUCCUUUUUAUGCAUUCUUCCGUUGAUUUGAGACUCUCAUUCACUCAUUGUGCCGACGACUUCAUCAGCUGUUUUUACUUUAUUGUUGAAGACCUGAUGCGCCAUUUACUUGAGUAUUUACAUGCUCAAGAAGGAGUGUUGUAGUUCUAUUAGAUUGGAAAUGUUAUCGUGUAAAUCCUAUCAUAUAUGGGAUAUCCUUAUGGGAUUCUACCAUAUCUCUAAGACUAGAUAUUAUCAUAUUAGAGUUAUAAUUCUUUGGGGUAUGUUGGGGUAAGGAAUUCACCUUCCCUACUACUAUAAAUAAAGACACAAUGGGGUGAGAUAACAUACACCUCACAAUUACACAUCUCUCAUUUCUCUCUGUUGCCGUUGCACACUCUCUCUUUGUCCUUUAUAAUGAUUUAUAAAUGAAGCACCACGAGAAAAUGGAAGACAUCGCCAACCACCACUGGUUAACACCACCUCAUCUAGAUGGGAAUGAACAAAGCUUCCCAUUUGGGGUUUAAGGUCACUUGUCCAUCUGUAUGGCACUGAACCCCGCAAGUAAAGACAAGUAGGAUGGUGAAACGAUGCAUUAUGUGGGUAAAUCCCAUAUGGAUCAGGAUUUCUUUCAGCAUAAUGUCUAGAAAAGUAUGGAAGCAGGUUGCUGCCUUGGGAAAUGAAUGAGGAGCUCCACUGUGCAAGUGGGAUCCAAAAGGAUCGCCAUAUCUAGGAUAAUUCCUUGAAUUAUGCAAGGAAGAGUGUGGAGUGUCUGUAUAAAAUGUGGAGUUUAUGUUGAGAGCGUAGGGUGUAAGGAUAUUAUGGGAAAGUAUGCAGGUUAUAUUCAAUAAUAUGUGGUGUAUAUGAAUAUAAAUUUUAAUUGGAAAAGAAAAUGUGUGGUGUAUUAAGUAUGUGAGGUGUAUUCAACAAUAUGUAGAAUGUCAAUAGAACAACCCUUUAUUAAUCAAUAAAAAUAGAUUUAGAGUUGUUGUCAAAUUAGGUACCAAUCACCUUUGCUGUCAAUCUACAUUAGGCCACAUAAGAAUUGACAUUUCUGUUGGAAAAUAAUAAUGUUGUCUUUUUUUUACUGUGAUUACUGAUGUGAAAUUUUUGACUCCUUUGAAAAUGAUCAUUUCUUCUGUCUACUACCAACAUCCAGCAAUGGCACACUCGCUCACAUGAUUGCUCUCAAAGCCUUGUAGUGGCACCGAGGGUAAAAAAACACUCAGGACAAACAGUUUAUUGAAGUGACCUAGACCAACCAAACAGUAAGAAUAUUCUGACAAAGUAGGUCGUAGUUAAUUAUGAAGGGCAUUUAUAAUUCCGCCUAUUAGUUCCAUCUAACAAUUACUUUAGUAUAAAGAAAGGUUGGAAAUGGUACUGUAGAAAUGAAUAGUGUUUCAAUCUGAUCUUUCUGUUGGUUUUGGGUUAGCAGCCCGGCCCUAAUUGUGUCCUCUCCAUUUUGGGCGAGAUGGGGGUCACCAGGUAGGUAUCAUUUGAUGUAGUUUGAUUAGGGUUUCGAGGAGGGUAAGGGUAUCGGCACUGUUUCUUAGCAUGUUAGGUUCGGUUUUGGGGGAUUUAUGAUUUUAUAGAGCGAGAUGGAUAAGGAGAUUGAGAUUGACAGAGGGAGGAGAAAGGUUGGUGCGCAGGGUCAGUGAGGUGAGUGACAGAGGGGUGUAUGGCAGAGAGAAUAUGAGGGAUGGAAGAGUCGUGGGUGAGAGAAGAGGAGAUAGGGAAGAGUCGUGCGUUGCAAACGGGAUGAGAGGAAAGACGGGAUGAGAGAGGGAGGGGUGGGAUGAGCGAAUCAAGGGUAGGGGUUCUAGCUGGAAGCCAUUUCCACGACAAUUAAUGGGGAAGGCAUGGUUGUGUGCAGUUGGUGGGAUUGGUCGGUCAGGAAGGGGUUAUUGAGGGAGGUAUGGGAGAGUUUGAUUUCACUGUUCCCACCCUUACUUGAACAGGUAAUACACUGUUUCCUCCCUUGAUUUCUCUGUUUCGUGAUGAGAUAAAGAUAGAUAGGGAGAGAUGGAUAUGGAGAUAGAGAUAGAUAGAGAGAGGAGAAAGCAUGGCUGUGUGCAUUUGUUGGGAUUAAUUAAUGGGUUAGUGUGUAGGGUCAGUGAGGAGAGAGUCAGAGAGGGGUGUAUGGUAGGGUAUGGCUUUUCGUUUUUUCCCUUUGAUUUAAUAGGUUAUGCACUGUUUGACAAUAAUUGUUUGUUGUUUUGUUUUGCUUUUGCUUUGUUAGAACCAUCAUUCGAUUUUUGGGUUUCACUGUCCUCAUUUUUGUGCUUCUUCAAAAUUUUCUUAGUUCCUUAUGUAUUCGUUGGUUCUGUCUAAUUUUUGGUUGUGGGAUGAUGCUUGCAGGUGAACUAGGUGCACGGUAUUUUGGGACAAGUUAGGAAGAUCCACAUGAAAACAACAUGGAAGAUAGAGAACUGGUAUGCUGCUUUGUCUUUCUGUUGGAUUUUUAUGUUUAUGUUCUACUGCUAAGAGGAUUUUAAAAUGUUCUAAAUCUGUUUUGUAAAUGUGCUUAAAGAUUGCACAUGUUCUUGAAUAUCAACCAUGUUGUUUGGAUUGAAUAUGUGAUUGAAUAUUGGAGAAGAUACCAUCUUGCUUGAUUUCAAUUAAAGACUACUAAUUUGAUCGGCUUAUAUAAAGUUUGUUUAUGUUUGAGAUGUAUUUUGUUCGAAUCUCUAAACUGAACAGUGCAUUCAUAACCUCUAGGUCCGUAUCAUGCAUGGUGAGUUAUCUGUGAACAUCACCCUAAGUACCUUCUUGAAAUGCUCGAUUUCAGGAAUGAGAGUUGAGAUGGCUUCCAUGAAGAGGGAUGCAGAGCAUUACUCGCGCUAGGUGAUAUCUGCUUUUUCUCUUUUCGUAUAUCUUCAUAUGAAGAGUUUUACUAAGUUAUAUUGAGCACUAUGUUAUUUAUAGGUUAUAUUUUCCACUUUGCAGGAACACAUGGAGCUAGGGAAGUGCUAUCGUGAACUCACUGAUCUACUGGUAAUGUCACUCAAGACACUUAUUUACAUGGUCAAAGAUCGCAUUUUUAUGACACUUCUUAUUCCAUCUGUUUUCAUGUUUCCGUUUCUUUUUUCUGGUUAUCAUACUUAAACUGCUUUAUUUGUGCAAGCUGCUACUACGCGCUUGAAUGCAUUUAUUACUGGCAGGAUGCGAAGAAAGCUAGAUAUAUGUGCGGGAUCGCUUGUUUAGUGUUAGGGUUUUAACAACUAAUUGUUAGCAGCUAGAAGCUUUGGUUAGAUGAAUGCUAAUCUGAUUUUCCUUACAAUACUUGAGUGCCAGUUUCAUAGUGUUUGUUCCCGGCUGGAUACCUGCUAUAUAGUUUCAUUUCUGUUUCUUCAUAACUUUAAAUGCAUAUUGAGUACAAUGAAUGUCCAUUGUUAUCUAACUGUUGGGCUUUACUAUCUUUGUAGCAGCCUGCCUAACAUUUUUUAGGCACUACACUCCAAUUUAAUGAAAAAUUCAAAGAUUGGACGGUAUUGAUUGAAGAAAUGAAAAAAAUACUAUGAUAAUAGAAAUGUGAAUGUCGUUGUGUUAGAAGAAGCGUCUAGCAUGAUGGGUAAUAUUUUAAGUUUGUAUUUCUAAAAUUUUUUCGUUCUAGAGUAUGAUUUACCUCAAUUGUUUUGUACUUUAAUCUUUACUAAUUUUAAUUGUGGAGUAUGAUUUACCUCAACUAACAACUUUUCAUUGUUUAACUUUUUCCUCCCUUAGAUAGUUGAAUAUGUUUGAUUUGUUAAUAUGCUUCUUACACAUGUUGUUGCCUUGGGUUGCCGGAUGCAUGUGCAGAUUACUCGAAUAGACGAAGCUAAGGAUGACUUAGUAUUGAGUGAGAAAGAAGGUUGGGUCAGUUGGAUUUUUCUACAUUUGAUUUAUUCAUGUUUUUUGUUGCUUGCAAUGUUCUCUCAUUGUUUGUUGUGAGAUUCUAUGAUCUUAUUUUUAAUAAGAACUAACAUUGGUUUGCCAUAUAAUGUUUCAGGAACUUAUACAACAACUAAACACCUUGCUUAGCUCUCACGAGACAUACUUAACAGGUUAACAAACACUAACCUAUAAACUGAUUUGCUGAGCUGGACCAUUAACCUCUGUUUAUAUCCCUGCCACUCAUCUUUUGGCAAUUAUCAAUAGCAAAAUCUAGAGUUGCAAAAACCCCAAUUUUAAUGAAUGUUAUUUUUAGUUGAUAAUUAAAAUUAAUUGAUGAUUAAUCUAUUCCAUUGUGCAUUAUUUUAUCGCCAAAUACUUUGAAUAUUCAUUAGCAAAAGAUAUAGGGUUCACCAUUUAAUGAAUAGAAUUUUGAUGGUGGAUUGCAUUUCCUGAGUUAUAAAUGUGGUGAAUCCAUUAUUCACUAGUUGAAUAAUCAUAAUGUUUUGGCCACUUAUCUUGAAUUUUGUUCAAAUUGAAGAAGUCACAUGUUUCUUUCUGUUGUUAAGGUAAUCUCUGUUGAAAGCUUCUAUUUCUUUUUUCUUUUUCUUUUUUUUUUUUCAUUUGGGUAGAUUUUUUUUUUUUAUGGAUUUAUGUAUUUUUUUCAGAGAAUUCGAAAUGAAAUAGGAAUAGCGGAGUGAGCAUAAACAAAUUGAUGAAAUUUUUAUUUGAGUUUUUGUGUUGGUCCUUUUUUGAUUUGUUGAGGUUUGGAAUUAUUUGAGUUUUUUUGCUGUUACUACUGUGACGGAUGCUAGGCAAUCACGAAAUGGGGGGCUACCUUUUUGGAAAGAGAAGUCUUGUUGUCCAACCUCUCAUGAAUUACAAACAAGGUGCUUUUUUGCUGGAAAAACCACCGAACCAGUAAAACUUUCCUCGGUUCUUCAAUUCGAUUCGAAUAAUUUUUUUACCCAGAAAAGCCAGCGUUUCUUGGUGAUUUUUACAGCUUUCUCAAUGUUUUUGUGAUUUUGGAUUUGCAAAUUUGUUUUCUGUUCAAAUUUCUUUUUGUGAUUUUAGGGGUUUUGUUUAUCGAUUCUCUCACUCAUCUCUCAGCUCUCUCUCUCACUUUUGAGGUACAUACCGUUGGAUUCUAUUUGCUGUUGCUGAUCUGCAGGUAAAGCUUCAAUUACCAUAUAAAGUUUACAUUUUUCAUUAUUUCUUGAGUUUUGAGUUUUAAUGAUAAAGACAAAAUAAAUGGUAAAGUGAAUAGUACCAAGUUUGACUUUUUAAUGUAAAAAUAUGGUUUUUCGUUAAAGUGAACAGUACUGUGGGCUUUUCGUUAGAACUCCCAAACAAAGGAAAUAUUGCUUUUCCUCCCAAACAAUGGAAAUAUUGCUAGAUUCUUAUCAUUAUGUGCAAAUUACUGGCGAUUUGGAUCGGUGCCUGAGAUUUAGAGAAUGAUUUAGAGAAUGGCUCGCAUUUUAAAUUUCUUUUCCUUCAUUAUUACUAUUUUCAAAAUUUUUAUUGUUGGGUAUUGAUAAUUUGUAGUCUGUGAGGGCUUCAAUCUGUUGGAAUUUUGAAUGGUUAUUGCUUCAUCAGAAUUUGGGUGGUCCAAAUUUUGAAUUAGAAGAAACCUAUUUGAUUAAUAUUUUUGGUGGAUUGGUUCUCUGUGUUUUCUUUGUUAUUUCUCCCCCAGUUGGAAAGUGGAAGCCCCAACUUUGAGCUCAGAGCUUGAAUUUCUCAAUCGUUCGUUUCUCUGCACUCUCAUCAGUCACUCUUGAUCCUCUCUCUGAAGAACUGGGUAAUUUUCCAGCUCUAUCAAGUAAUACUCCAUUUUAUUGCUUAAUUGAGGUUUUUUGUUUCUCUUUUUCACUCUUUCAUUAGUUCAUUGGCUUUGAUGUUGGGCUUAAGUAAUGGGAAAUCAUUAAUUGGCAUUGUUCAAGAUAUAAUUAUGUGUUUUUGGAUUUGUGAAACGAUUUGGCUAAUGAAGAUAGUGGUUAAGAUAUAUUUUUCGUUAUGAAAGAGAACAUUGUUCUUCGUUUGCCUACGGUUUUUACUACAAAGUUAAACUACUAUGAUUUUGUUCAAUUGACUGCAACUCAUGCCGCAGUUUGCUUCACAAACCUCUACUGUUAGCUUCCAUGUAGUAUGUUGCAAGUUUGAGGAUAUCUCUACAUCUUAAUUUCUACUCUCUUUGGUUGCUUUCAAGUUCGUAAUUUUACUUGCUACACUGCCACUUGAUUUGAUUAUAAAAAUGUAAAACAAAAUAUGUCCAUGAUUUACAAAUUUGUAUUCGAUUUUUGAUGUUUUUCCAGUGCAAGGCAUAUGUUGCACAAGUGAGGUAUGUAGGCUGCAGGGCAUAUAUUUUGUUGUCUUAACUGCAGGGGCAAAAUAUGUGUAAAAUGCAGCUUGCUUCUGUUUCUUCAGUUUCGUAUGGAAACAAACCUUAUGCUUAUGUUUGCCUUUGAACAGUUGUGAUUACAAAAUUAGCUACUUGAACAAGUCCUCAACACUUUAUAUUUUUAAUUACCUAUUCAAAUGGCUACCUACACUGCAGGACACAUAUUAUAUGUGUGAACUAAAUGUUUCUUCUGUUUCUUAAGGAAACAUAAUUUUUCGGAAACCAUCUCUUUCUAAUCAAAGACUUUCAGUUUCUUCCCACUCAUUGUACAAUGUGUUUAUAUGCCAACUCACUUGAAUGUAUAUAAAAGCAAAACUGCUUAUCUUAUCGAUCUCAUUCACUCAAGUAUCCAUUUGUUUGUUCAUAAUUAUGUUGAAUUUAUUCAACUUAAAUGUGUUUUAUUCAUCCGAUUACGCUUGAAAUAGCUGGUUCCCGCGGCAACAUGCAGGGCUAAUUUCUAGUUUUUAAUCUAUUUCUUAAUAACUUGACCUCAAUUCCUCGGGACUUAGAUAUCCCUCUUACCCAAACGUUUCAAUUUCUCAAUUGCUCAAGGGCAACCUUUGCAUAUACCAGAUGGAAGUUCUCAACGACUCAUUUUGUCGCAUUUUCAUAUUCCGACGAAGAAGUGUAUUGAUUAUGGCUGCUUCUCGGUUUAGGAUCCUUCAGUAAUAUAGUAAUUAGAAAUAAACUCAUGAUAUUGGUGGACCCGGAGGAAGGAUAAACUUGACGUUAUACUAUAAAUUUGAUACAAAAAUCCAAAUUUAAGGAUUAAAAUAUCUGGAGCGCCGAGUACUCCGGAGCACCCAUUGGCAUUCCAUGUGUAAGAGUUGACCUUGAUUUGCUUAAUCAAAGACAAGAGGGCUAAAAAAUAUUCUACCAUCAAAAGAAGACAAACAACUAACUAAGAAUGAAGAUCAAAAGUUGAAUAAGUUAACAGAAGUUGGAAGGACAGAAUGACUUUAAAAAGAAAGGCCAUGUUACAUAGAAAUCAGAAAGCAAAUCUGAAAGCUCAUCACCCAUGGCAGAAGCGGCAAAGAGGUAAGUACCUACUACUUCCCUCAUGUUUUUGAAGCUUCACACAUCAGACCAUUUGGCCACACCAACAGUAAUGAAAUUUCUUGUACAUAAGUGUUGUAUACAACCCUCUCACGUUUGUGAAAUGUGAUCGGAUCAUAUUAUAUAUAUUUUUACUUCGAAUUCACUCGUCUUUUCUUAGUUUGUUCCUUAUAUUUUUGAGCUAUUUACGUAUUUUUGUGUUUAUAGGAUUUGUUAUGCAAAGAAAAUAAAAAUAGAACAAGUGAAAUUUUUUGUAAUAAAUUCGUCAAAACUGUCUGUGUAAAUCAGCUUUUAAAUAAAAUUAAAAAAAAGAAAAAUAAUCAUGAUUUAUGUUUUGUUAAAAGAAUGAGGGAGAGUCGGUCAAAGAGGAAGUGGAGUGCACACUGAUAAAGGGAAGAAUAAUAAAGGAAAGUAGAAGGAGUGCGGGACUGAGUGGAAAUAAUAAAAGAGGCAGUGCGCAGGGGACAGAGAGGAGUGGGGAGGACUCGGAUUGGCAGAAACAAAAAAAAACAAACAGAAAAUAAUAGAAAAGAAGGCAAGAAGUCAGAGGGAGAAGCAGGAAUAAAAGAAGCAAACUGACAGAAGAGCAGGAGGAGGAGAUAGACACGGGGGGAGGCACGAGACAGGAUAGAAGCUGCAUUUGGCAGCUUGAGAGACAGGUGGCGGGAGAGAGAAGCAGAAGGCUGCACAGAAAAACAGGAGAGAAGCAGAGACGGGAGCAACACGAGAAGCAGGAAACGUGAGGUCAGAGAGUCCAAAAAGCUGCCCUUGGAGCGUGAGAAAAGAAGAAGCAGGAAACGUGGGAAAGGAGGACUGCAAGAGGAAAGAAGGCGAGAGGAGAGAGGCAGCCAGCCAGAGGUCAGAGAGGGCAGAGACCAGCAGAAACGGGAGCAACACAGAGCAAAGUUUCACUCCAUUUUUUCUUGGUUUUAUCUUCUCAAACCCAUGUUUUACUUUUGGUUUAAUUUGAUAAUAAUGUGUAACUAAAUUUAUUUUGGCUAGAGGUUAAUUCAAAGCCAUGAAUAUAUUUGUAAUAUGAAUUGAUUACCUUCAGUUGUGAUUUCUGAGUUGUGAUUUAAUUUACUUAACUGCUUGAUUGAUAACUUAUUUUUGUAUGUCGAUUAAGAAUGCAUACUUAAUUUACAUGCAUGAAUUUGAUGCUAGAAUAUAAGUGAAUUUCACCUAAUCGUUAUGAACUUAUAUUCACAAGUAGUGAAGGUUGUUAUCCACAAUCGUGUUAAGUGAGUUCUAGGCUGGAUUAACAUGCGUAUUCCAUAGUUAUGAAUGCCUAGUCAAUGUUUAUGAUUUCCGUUGAACUUAAUGAUCUUUGUUGAAUGUCUCUAUCAUGCGUAUUCCAUAGUUAGGGACUUUGAUGAGGAAUAAUUUGGUUGUAAUGCGUAUUCCAUUCAAUCCAAUGAAUCUAGGGAAAUCUAAAGAGUUAAUUUAAGCGGACCUAAUUAACUUGGAACAUUGUCAUUCACAAUUUAUUGAAAGAACAACUGAAAAUCAAUUUAGGUUGCAUAUGUGUCAUGUGUGGAGAAGAACCCUCUAGCUAGUCCGUCACCUAUCCUUUCACCUUAAUUCAUGCUUUUGUCAAUUCUAUAAUUUAUUUAAGUUUAAUUUACUUCUCGUCAAAACCAAACCCCCCAUUAUUAAAUUAUAUUAUUUAGUUAGUUUUCAUUGUUGUUAGUCUUUUAAUUCAAUUUCCGUCCAUUUCAGUUCCUAGUGUCUAAUUUGAUUGUUUUCAUUAUUUUGAGUCAUUCUAAGUGUGUUUCGAGUUAUUAGAGUUUUUAGCCUAGUUUUGUGUCCUUGAGUCUUAUUUAAUAUUUUUUAGAUUAGCAAUCCCUCCUAAUCCCCGGUCUAGAACGAUACCCUACUUACAUACUUUACUACAAUUGUCAAAAAGAGGGUUUAAUUUGUGUGUCAAGUAAUUUUCACAUCAAAAUGUUGGAUACAACGGUUUAUUUAUGAGAAUUUCUCCAGGGUGUUAAAGUUUAAGCAUGAGAGUGUAUGACUCGAAGGAAGAAAGAAAUAUCGCAGAAAUGGAGAUAGUGAUGGAUGCUUCUCUCUCUCUCUCUGCAAAAUCACAGAGGAAUGUUUUCUCUUAUUCUCACACUAGCACACAAUCGUGCACUGCAUAACGGUUAGUUAUGCUAAUGGAAUCUCACCAUUACAUCAAAAGAUCUUAGCUGCACAUCUAGCUGGAUUCAAGGUGAUUAAUCCACAUGUCACUUAGACAAAAUUACAAUAUGAGCCCUACACUUGGUAAUUUUAACCAGAGUGAAUACACAACUAAAUACAAGGCUUAUUUCUACUAACUUAAAAUCAGCUCAUGGCUUAUACACUAACACUCCCCUUUAAGCUUUGAGCUGAUAUGACUCCAAGCUUAUCUAUGAGAUAGUUGAACCUCUCCUUUGGUAGAGCUUUAGUAAAAGUGUCUACCACUUGUUCUUUGGUAGGUCAGUAGACCAAAUCAACAAUUCCUUGCUGCAAAGCAUCCUUGAUGAAGUGAUACCUUCUAUCAAUAUGCUUUGUCUUUUGAUGAAAUACUGGAUUCUUGGUUAUAGAGAUUGCAACUGUAUUGUCACACUGAAAAGGAGUUGCUUUAGUUUGCAACUCUCCAAAAUCCUCCAGAACAAACCUAAGCCAUAUAGCCUGAGCUGUGGCUUCUAAUGCACUGAUGUACUCUGCCUCUGCAGUUGAAAGUGCAACACAAUUUUGCUUAACAAAUGCCCAUGAGAAGACUCCACUCCCAAAGGAAAAUGCAUAGCCUAAUGUACUUUUGCUAUCAUCAAUUGAACCUCCCCAAUCACUCCCACAAUAUCCAAUUAGUAUUGCAUUCUUCCCCUUUUCAUAAUUCAGUCCAUAAUCUAGUGUUCCUUUGACAUACCUAAGCACUCUCUUGGCAGUCCCAUAUUACUUAUUUGUAGGGCAAUGCAUAUAUCUAGCAAGUAAGCUAGCUGCAUACAUCACAUAUGGCCUUGUAGCAUUAAGAUAUAACAGACUGCCCACAAUCUUCCUAUAUUGCUCUUCACUUGCUGGGCCACUUCAAUCUUCUUUGCUCAGUUUGUCAGUAGCAACAAGAGGAGUACAGACAGAUUUGCAUUCACUUAAGCCAAACUUAUUAAUAAUUGAUGGAUGCGUGUUGGAUACUGUGACACAUGUAUCUUAAUUGAUUUUUAGUGCAAUGAGUCUUUGAUUUUGUCAGGUAUGCGGUUGUCACAGGCUCGAAUCAGGGGAUUGGAUUCGGAACAGUUAAGAAGUUGGCAGCAAAUGGGAUCAUGGUGGUGUUAACUGCUUUAGAUGAGAAAAUGGGUCUUGAAGCUAUUGAAAAUUUGAAAGAGUGUGGCCUCUCUGACCUUGUGGUUUUUCAUCAGCUUGAUGUAACGGAUCCUGCUAGCGUUGCUUCCCUAGCAGAUUUUGUCAAAACCCAAUUCGGGAAACUAGAUAUCUUGGUAUGAUUCGAAACCAUUUUUAUAAACAAACUUCCUGUUCUGAAUGAAUACUUUCAUUUUUGCCAUUUUUUCGUCUGUGAAUUUUAAAAUUUUUUAAUGAACGGACCUCAUUCGCCAACUCUAUAUGAUACUAAUAUUUCAAGCAUAUUCUGUGUACCCUGUUGAAAAUUUUCACUUAUCCACUGUGUUGUAAAUUUUAACUGAGUCGCUUCGUAAUUCAGCUUAAAAUAAGAUAGAAAAUCCCUAAGUACGAUGAAGGGUCUUAAUAUUUUGUUGGGAUUGAACAAAGAUGAAAUGUUUAGGAACUUCCACAGGUAAACAAUGCAGGGGUUAGAGGAACCAUUGUAGACCCUGAAGCUUUCAGAGCUGCUGUAGCUUCUGGUGUUGGUAGGGUAAGUCUUUUUAUUCACUAUUUAAAAUCCAACUUAUCUUGAGUUUUCAAAAUUUGGCUUUCAGUUUUUGGUUUUACAUUUUAUUUUUUGAAAACUGAAAACUGAAAUGGUUAUAAGAUGGGUCCUUACAUUGUCAAAUUUAUAGGUUGAGUAGUGCUAUCCACACACCCAUUUUUACUUCUCACACACUCCUCUCAAAUUUUUGUCGUCGGAUCGAAUGAAUUGAAAAAAAUCAAUGACCAAAAAUUAACAAGGGUGUGUGAGAGUUAAAAAUGGGUGCUUGAAGAGAACUUUCCAUAUAGGUAUGGCUAAGUGCCAUAAAUCUUUCAUUCAAAAAUCCACUAUGGCAAAAUGAAAUCUUUCUUUUCCUUGACGCAGGAUGGUUUAGGAGUCAAUUGGAGUGAAAUAAUGACUCAAACGUAUGAGUUAGCUGAAGUAUGCGUGAGAACAAACUACUAUGGUUCCAAGAAAAUGACCAAAGCACUGCUUCCCCUCCUCCAGCUAUCCGAUUCACCAACAGUUGUCAGUCUUUCUUCUGGCAUGGGAUUGUUAAAGGUGCGAAGAUUUUUCAUACUUUUGGCAUCUCAUCGUAUUUCUGGUUCAAGAUCCAAUGUCUUCCAUAAUUAGGAAAACUGAAAUUCUGUUGGCAUGGAUGUUUUGUUUCAGCAUAUCCCAAAUGGAUGGGCUAAAAGGUUGUUAAGUGAUGCCGAAAAACUCACAGAAGACAGAAUAGACGAGGUUUUGAGCGAGUUUCUAAAAGACUUCAAAGAAGAUAUGCUAGAAACCAGAGGAUGGCCUGCUUCCCUCUCUGCCUAUAUACUCUCAAAAGCAGCCAUAAACGCUUUCACGCGGAUCAUGGCCAAGCAGUACCCGAAUAUCUGCAUCAACUCUGUAUGCCCUGGAUUUGUCAAAACAGAUUUGAACUUCAAUACCGGAAUAUUAACAAUAGACGAAGGUGCUGAAAGUGUUGUGAGGCUAGCAAUGGUAACAAAUGGCAGCCCUUCUGGCCAUUACUUCUAUAGACAAGAAGUCACACACUUUUGAGGAUAACAGAAUCUUUCAAUUUCAUGGAAUAAAUAUCCUUUUUUCUGUACGCAAUGAUGAGAUAAUAAUCUUUGAAUUUUCGUAGACGAACAAUGUAUCCUUAAAAAAUUACUAUGCUCUUGUUGCUGCAACCUGGUGAUCAGCCACACCUUGCAAAACGAGAACGCAUGGUUUCCACUUCCAGAGGUUUUCCUUGCAGAGCACUAUUUAACUCUAAACAAAUUGUUCCAACUACAAAAGUAAAAAAGGAAAAAACAAAUUAAAGUUCGUUAGUCCUUAAUAAGCAAGGCGUGAAAAAGAAUUAAGCAUGCAUAAGCCAGUACCUCACUCAUAGCUCGUCUACCAUUCGUUUAGUUUUCUCCUCUUAUCCCACAAUAGGCCUUUAUAUCGGACUCUCCCUCCUUGAUCACAUUUCCCAUUGCACAAUAUCGUUCUUACCCACGAUUGUUCACAUAGAUUGUUAGAGCAAUUUCUUCUCAUCAUCCACUAGUCCAUGCGGUACUUGUAUAACCCCUUUGUUGAAUGUAAAGAAACCAAGUGAAUACCUCUCCUUGUCUCUGUUAUGCUUCACUCAAUGAUGGCAAGCUUUUAUUCUGUCAUUGCUUAUACCUAAAUAAAAAGACUGGUUUUGGUAAUGUUUAAACUUUAUAUUGGCACAUCAAGUUAGACUUCAGCGAGCCAAGUUGGCUAGAAUAAUAGGCGUGCAUCCCUACCUCUCUACAAGUUAGAUCGAAUUAUCUUCUUUGUUAUUUAUAUUAAAUUACAAUGUCACUCAAAUAUAUUUGUACAUCAAAUUAUAUGAGAAUACAUGUGUAUAAUAAGUUCACUAUCUAUCUUUAUUAUUAUUUUUUAUGAUCGAUGAAAGCUUCAUUGGUCAUAAAUAAGAAUUUCAUCAACGGAAGCAACAUCUGUAGAAACACUAUCUACCUUUACUAAAUGUGUCAUCAUAUUUCUAGUUCUCUGUUGUGAGUUUGAGUGAGUCUAAAUCAGAAAAUCCUUAAAAUUAAACUCACACACCAAAAGAUAGGUUUAUUAUCAUCAUCAUCUCUCUCUCCUUUCUAUCCAGAUCUUCCGAACCAAAUAUAAUGAAUAAAGAAAAAAUUAACUUUAGGCGUGAUUUUCGGUUAUAAAAUUUCAAUUUGAACUAAGAAGAAAUAUUAUUUUUCUUGUUCCUUUUGUUUGGAUACAAGCAGAGCCGGCCCUGAGAGGGUGCAAGUGGUGCCACCGCACACGGCUCCCGAUUUUUCAAUUUUGUAUGCAUAUACGUAUAUAUAGUAGUAUGUGUAAAAUAUUGCAAACUUGAGUCUUAGCGCAAGUGAUAUUAUUACUUCUUUACAUCAUCCUAGGGGAUGGGUUCAAAACUCAUCUCCAUCUUUUUUUCAAUUUAUUUUUAUUAAAUGCAUAAGCUUCCACAAAAUAAUAUACAAAUUCGACACAAUAACAUGAAAAUUUGAACCCUGGCCCUCUAAAUAGUUAAGGAAAAACAAUACGCCACAUUUCCACCUGUUGAUUUGGUAAAUUUGUUUGUGCCAUUAAAAUUUAUAGAAGCUCAAUUGAAAACUAAAGUUAAUUUUUUGAACAAAAAAAUAAAAAAAUUAGAUUCUUAAUAUUUUUUUAGGACCUCCAAUUCACUUUCGCACAAGGCCCUGAAAUCUCAGGGCCGGCCCUGGAUACAAGGUUAAGCGACUAGAAAAAUAAAAAAAACAUGGAUGGAUGCUGACAAAGAACAGAUGGCUGUUUAAUAUGUGAAUGUGGUUGUAUGGACUCGUCGCUCAUCGGUCGUGAACUAGAAUUUUUAGCGCUAUGAGUUUGUGAUUGGAAAUUGCGUGUUCAGUUCAAAAAUACUGAACAGAUAUUAAUUCAGAUCAUGGGUUACGAAUUCGGAUUUUAGAUUACAACCCUAAACCUUAAUAUCGGCCAAAGUUUGUAUGUAACUACAUAUUUGUGGAAUUUAGAUGGGAAAUUAGUUUAUGCCCACUUAAUUGUCAAAAAAUAAAGUACUCGUAGUUUUAGGACUCGCCUGCAAUCUAUCGGCUGCCAAGAACACGAAUUUUGAAGGUGUUUGGGUUAAUAUUUGAACUUUGGGCCUAAAGAAAGAAAGGAAGAAAGGUAGGCCCAAAAGGACUAAAAUGGGGAGAUUCGCUCGAGGCCCAGCACCCAGCCCAGACCAACUCUCUCAAAGACAAAGUGGCGGCUUCCCAUUAAUGCAUAGGCUAUGUGCCUAUAAUCUAAAUAUGACAAGUGAUAAGAUCGGUCACCUAUCAGCCAAAAGCACUAUACAGUGGCAAUACAAGUAAAAAGCUGGUGAGUCACUACCCUCCGAUUACUUUCAGGCAAGAACAGAACUGCAAAUAGCCGGGUUAAUUCGUCUAUAAAAGGAGGAAGAAGACCCAAAGAGUGGGAUGAUCCUUAUUUGUGGAAAUAUUGCACUGAUCAAUUGAUUAGAAGGUGUGUCCCCGAAUCUGAGUUUAAAUCUAUUCUAACUUUUUGUCAUUCUUAUGCAUGUGGUGGCCAUUUUGGAGCAAAAAUGACAGCCCUGAAGGUGUUAGAGAGUGGUUUUUAUUGGCCUAAUUUGUUUAAGGAUGUGUACGAGUUUUGUGCAACAUGUGAUCGUUGUCAACGAACAGUGGAAAUCCAAAGUGCAAAGACCGGAUACAUGUUCAAAGUGAAUGGGCAUAGACUCAAGCCAUAUUACGAGUCUUUUGCGGAGCAUGAUGUGGAGGUUGUACCUCUUCAAGAACCAGUUCCCUUUGGAUGAUUACUCUUGGUACCGUCUGGCUGCGGACGUAAAAGCAAGCGAUUAUUGGGAGGCAACCCAAUAUUUCUAUUCAUUGCUUUUUUUUUCUGUCAUUUUCAAUUUUCUUGCGUGCAAAACUGAAUUAUUUCUUUUCUUUGUAUUUGGGUUAUGUCCACCCUUGGAGUUGAUUGCAGAAUUAAAGUUUGGGGGUCAUCAUUUGAUUUUACUGCAAAUUGGGGAAGUUUUUAGUCCAAAUGCCGGAUCACUUCAAGUAUCACCUUCCAUUCGAAGUUCACUUCGAUGCCAUGGAACCUAGGGGAGUGUGACUAGAGGCAUCGUCCGGCUGCAAGACGUUAAAGAAAGCGCUUCUUGGGAGGCAACCCAAGCUUUCUAUCUUUCAUCUUUAUUUUGAAUAAUUUUAAAUUUUAUUGUUCUGUUUUUCUCUUGUUUUCUGGUUUUUUGUGUUUAAGUCCUACUUUUGUUCCUUUAUGCAGGUAAUGAUUUUGCAAUCUCUACCACAACUUCUUGCAAGGUAGUUUUACAUUCAUAAAAAUGAAAGGAACAUUAAGCAUAUAAAUACAAGAGGGAGCCUUCACAAAGGCUGCUUAAGUGAAGUUUCAGCAGUCGGCGGAGUCCCAGAAGGAGGAGGCAUCAGAGGUUGAUCAGUUGGAGCUUCACUACGCGGUACAGCCCCAGAAGACGAAGGCAAAUGCUGUUGGAACAAACCCACAAACUGUUGAUGAUCAAGUAAAAUCUGACCAUCAGAUUCCUGCAUCUGGUCAAUCUUCCUCUUCAUGUUUGUGGCAUAGUUGUGUGCGAGCUUGUGCAACUGUUUAUUCUCAUGCUUGAGCCCUCUAAUCUCCUGCUUAAGACUCAUCACUUCUGCCGCCAACGAUUCAACUUGACGGGAUCGGGCAAAUAGGCGUUGGGCCAUGUUGGACACGGAACAUGCACACUGCACACUGAGAGCCAGAGAUUCCUUAACAGCCAACUCAUCAGACCGUUUGGCGAGUAGUCUGUUAUCUUUGGGAGUGACAAGGUUCCUGGCCACCACCGCAGCUGUCAUAUCAUUCUUCAUCACCGAAUCCCCAACGGUAAGGGGACCAGUAGGGGAUAUGAAGGAUGGGCGCCAUAUGUUGUCGAGCUGCCUCUUCACCAAGGUUCAAGUCAAAACGACGAUCAGAAGGGCCAGACAUUUUUCAGAUGUGGUAAAGAAAGAAGAGGUCGAACAAGUCAAGAUAGUAGAAAUGCAAAGAGGGAGUUUUUGAAGGCAGAAAUUCAAGUGUGCUUUGAACGUCCUGCAUACCUCUAUAAAAAUCAGCACGCGAUGGGAUUUCGGAGAUCGAAGAGGCAAUUCCAGAUAUCGAAGAGGCCAACUAAAAAAAUCAAAGAGGCGCUAGCUUUCUCAAAAGCUGAGCUUGCUCAGAAACCACGGCAAAUCUUCUUUUCCAGAUUUGUCCGCACUCGUCACAUGCACCCUCUGCACUCGACGGAGCUCAGAUUUCGAAGAGGCAAGCUCAGAAAUCGGAAAGGAAUCUGCUUUAUCCAGACGUGUCAACAUCUGUCACAUGCAAAGUCUGCUUUACAGAAAUCACGGGCAAUCUGUCGACGAUUUCUGGUAAAGUAUAAAGCACGUGAAGUUUACUGUUCAAAUCAUCCAACGGUUGCCGACAAGAGUGAAAGAACAGUACCGGUUAUUAUUUCCUAUAAAUGUCGACCUUCACCCUCCAUGGCAAGGCAGACAUACAUAACUUUCCAUCAUCUCCGAGAAUGCCUUUCCACCACACCCUUUCGAGUCACUCAGUGUUCCUUAUUCCUUGGGGUACCUCUGCAAACAACCCAUCCAAAGCAAAAGUAUUUCAUAUCAUGAAGGUUGAAAGCAAGAGUAUCUCAUAUCAUGCUUUCUCCCUGUCCUUCUCCUUGUCUUUGUUUUGUGACAAGGAGAAAGAGAGCAAUCAGCCAGCACUUGGUAUUAAUCUUCCGAUCUGGAGCCAACUGCCUGGAACCCCUUCCUGAUUGCUUACCUAGCCUUGCUCUCGAGUACUCAUCUUCAUUAUCUUGUGCUUUCUCUUCGUCUACCACAUCUGCCUGGGGGACAGAUAAGGGAAGUGAAAAUGAUACCUCGAAGCAUGUGGAGACAAUUCAGCUAGGGACAAGGAGAAAGAAAGCAAGAGAUGGGCACUUGGAAAGAUUGAAGAAAGAAACAGACCAAUACCUCUACCUCGUGCCUGCCCGCCGUGCAGAAGAAACAAGCAGAGAAGAAUGCAGACUGCACAAUUCAGAGUUCCUUGGUUUCAAAUCAGACUCCGAGAUUCGCCUACACAAAUUGGUGUGUUCUUUCCUUUUCUUUAUAUGUCUUUAUUUCAUUUUAUAUUUCUUUCCUUCCAUUUUUAUGUCUUAUUGUUCAAAAUUUCCUUUCAUUAUCAUUGGGGACAAUGCUAUAAUUAAGUUUGGGGGUGGAAAUAUAUUUCGUUAGUUUAUUUCUCUAUUAAAAAAUAAACUAAAAAAAAAAUUUAUUGUUGUUUGUAGCUACUUCUCAAUUCUAUGAUGAGAUUUGUUUUUAAUUUCCUUCUUACUUUCAAGAAAGUCUAAGUUCUUUUCGUUGUCUUUGUGUUAACUGUGAUUUCCAGAAAUCAACUUAAAAAAUAAAUGUGCCUAGUCUUGUCAAUGUGAAACUUGAGCAUGAUUUAGCGUUUCAUAUGUGAAUCAUGUGAGAUUAUGUAAACCUUGUGAGUUUUUAAGCCUAUACAUGAUUGAACCAUUAUGCAUCAAUCUCAUUCCUUCUUGUGCGUAUGAUCUCACUGUACAUGUAUCUCUAGAACUUGCUUUAUACUACUCGAUUCAUUAAUCAAUUCAUGUAAUAACUUGGAAGUGAUAUAGGCCAUCUUUGGAUCGUUUGAGCCUUUCAUGCCUACCUUAUAUGCUAUGUUUAUCUGUAGUAGCCCAUUGAGCCUUUAACUAAGCCAUUUCUUUGUUAGCCACAUCUCUUUACCUUGCUCCAAUAUUGGAGUUGAACCCAUACACAAAAAUCGAUUCCUUAUUGUUUUGAGAAAGUAUUACAUGGGUUGUGCUUUUGGGGGUUUCAUUUAUGUAGAAAGAUGGAUGGAGCAUGUGUAUUACAAUGAAAUGUGAAUUUGAUGGGUGAUGUAGCUUUUGCAGAAAAUUCUUUCAAUUAAAAAAAAAAAACAAAAUAUAAGAAAAUUGGAGAGUGUUGAUUUGUUGAAAUUGUGUCUGCAUAGUAUAAAUUUCCUUUUGAAGUUGAAUUUGGGGAGUAACAGGUGCUCGAAGUUUAUUAUUUUGCUUUCAAUUUGAGGUGGUGUGAUAUUGAGGUGUUGGAAAACUACUAAAGUGUACUUUCUCAAAAUUUUUGAUUUCCAUAUCCUUUCUUUCAUUAGCCUAUCACCUUUAGCCCCAUUACAACCGUAAUAAAGCCCUAUUGAUCCAAGGUAUUACUAAAAUAUUGAUAAGCGAGUUAGGUGGACAAGCAAGCAUAUGACGGCAUGUACAAUGAGAUCACUUGAGUGAAACACAUUAACCAAAACUUAUGAGUGAAUGAGCGUAUGUCUUGUGAGAAACUCACAUGUUUGCAUAUGAUGAUUUAAAGGAGCUUGGAAUUGCAUUGACAUGGCUAGCUCACACAUGGCAUUUCAACGUUUUGUUUGAAGGAAAUUUGGUUAACUAUUGGAUGAUGUUUUGAGCUCUUGAUUAGUUCUUGGUUGUUUGUAUCAUGAUUAACACUUAUCUCUGAAAUCGAAAUUGAGAAGUUGUCUACUAAGUUGUUGAAUCUAGUCUUAGUUGAGUGAUUUUGUUUUGUGUUUUGUUUUGCUAGAGGACUAGCAAAAAUGCAAGUUUGGGGGUAUUUGAUCACUCAUAUAUUUCAUGCAUUUAUACCAUCCAUUUCUAAAUUCUUUGUGAUGUUUUUGUGUUAAAAUUGUGGCAUUUUACCUUACCUUGUGUUAAUGUGCAGUUAAAUUUGUUUUAGGAUAAAUUUCAAGCAAAAGUGGGGGAGACACUGAGCAACAGAAAUUAAUGGGACGGUAAAGAGAAAGACACGGACAGCAGGAAUAAGAAAAGGAAUAAAAUGAGCACUAAAGAAUGGGAGACACGACAUAAAGAAAACAGAGAGGAAGUGGAACAAAAGAAAAGAAUAAGGGAAUAAAAUAAGAGGAUGGCAUGAUUUGUUCAAGGCACACGGGUUGAGUGGAAAACAAAAGAAAGAAUAAAAGAAAAAAACAGUGGAGGGAGGACUGAAAAGAAGAAUAAUAAAAGAAUAAACAAAGGAAAGCAGAAGAGUGGGGAGUAGAAUAAACAAAGAAAGAAACGGAAAUAAGAAGGGGCGAUAGGAGAAACUGAGAGGAGAAGAGGCAUGACAGAGGGCAGGACAGGAGCAGAAAACAGAGAAUAAUAAGAGAGAGGAGACUGACGGGAAAAGCAAGAAAACUAGAGGGAGAAGCAGAGAGCACGACGGCAGAGACACACAGAAAACUGUGUGGGGAAAAAGAAAUAAAAAGAAACAGAGGGCAGACAAGCAGAAACACAGCAGAGAGCAGAAGCUUCACUCUAUAUUUCUUGGUUUUAUCUUCUCAAACCCAUGUUUUACAUUUGGUUUAAUUUGAGAAUAAUGUGUAACUAAAUUUUAAGUAGUUAGGGGCUGUUUUGAAGCCCCGAAUAUGAUUGUAAGUUUGUUGUGAUAUUUUGUUUGAAUGACUUUUAUGAAAGGAUGAAAAUUGUUUCACUACUUAUGUCAUUGAUAAAUUCUUUAUGUGUUUCUAUGGAUGCAUACAUAGUGAGCAUAUCUAGGAUUUUAAUGCUAUGAAUAUAUGUUUACCUGCCCUUGUUGAAUGAGGACCUACAUAUGUUCUAGAGUAGCACUUGUUAAUUGUGGUUAACAUGUGAACCGAUUUCUAGGAUAAGUAAGACAACGCUAGUACUUACGAUGCCUUGUGAUGACUCAAACUCUUUUUAUUCUUAAUGAUUUCUAUUUGUUAAAUCUAUGAACACGCCAUUCUAGAUUGCAUGUUAGGAACUAAGUUAAGUUGAAAACGUCAUUCUCUUAACAUACUACAUAAGAAAGAGUAAUAGGUUGUGUUCUAACAUUGAGCCAACUUGAGCAUCUUCAUCCGGAAAUAAAAGGAAUUUGAAUGAAACAUUACAUGUUUGCAUGAUUAUUUGGUGGUGGAUAACAAUGUCCCCUAACUCGUUUUCUUAACUUGUGAAUUAAAAUCUAUUGGUAUUAUUUAAAACUUGUUGAGGUCCUGUUUUGUCCGAUUUAAUUUAAAUAGCUAAUCAACUCCAAAAAUCCCAAAAAUUUGUGUGAACAUAUCUUGGUGUGUCUAGUUUAUGUGUAUAAAAUUUCGUUGCAUUUGGAUAAGUGUAAGUUAGUCUAAUAAUUAUUGUUCGGUGGCUGGUCAGUGGAGACAGCCACCCUGUUUUUGUGACAUUUUAAGUAUUUGGAUAAAACAAUCUUCUGCGGGAAAGACCCUUAUUUUCAUAUGCUACAAUCGACAAAUUUUAGUGUUAAUAAGGAAAAUUAAUAGGAUAUUUGUGUGCUACUUUGUGGUGUGCUUUUAAUCCUACCAGUUUGCAGGCUUAACAACGAUUGAAGGGGGCACUAUUUGGGUUAAUAUUUGAACUUUGGGCCCAAAGAAAUAAAGGUAGGCCCAAAAGGACUAAAAUGGGGAGAUUCACCUGAAGCCCAGCACCCAGCCCAGACCAACUCUCUCAAACAUAAAAUGGCAGCUUCCCAAUAAUGCAUAGGGUGUGUGCCUAUAAUCUAAAUAUGACAAGUGAUAAGACCAAUCACCUAUCAGCCAAAAACACUUUACAGUGGCAAUACAAGUAAAAAGCUGGUGAGUCACUACCCUCCGAUUACUUUCGGGAAAGAACAGAACUCCAAACAAUCAGGCUGAUUCAUCUAUAAAAUGAGGAAGAGGGCCCAGAGAAGAGGACACUCAAUCAAACAAACAAACCAACAUACAACUUGUUUCUCAGUCAAGCAAAUACCCAGAAAGCUGCGCUUUGUCUAGUUUCUGCAUCCCUUUUUAGCCUUAGAUUUCCCUUAGAAAAACAGCUUUUGUCUAUGUAAAAGCUCUGCUACCCUUCUCUAAAUGUUGUAGUAUCGAUUCUCUCAUGUAAACUUGUUUACAUCCAUUCCCCUUUAGCUCAUAAACCUUUGUAACUGGAAAAAGAAGAAGCUGCACAAGAUUCAACCUUGCCAAACAAGGUUAAAUCUUGCCUGACUCUCUUUGUAUUGUCUUUCAAUUAAUAGAUCUGGUGUUAUAAUGUAUCCCUCAGUAUAUAUUCAAGCUAUUUCCAGUCUUUUAAUGAUUCAGAGUUCCAUCAGCUCUCAAAUCUGGUUCAUUUAGUGGUUUUAUUGUCAUAAGAGGAUCAAAAAUGCACUAAAACUGAUGAUUUAAUUAGAUCUGGACAUCCACCCUUUAAGCAUACAAGAUAUAUAUAAUUUCUUGAUCUCAAGGCAUUGAAAAGAACUUAAUGUAGACUUAACCCAUCUACGAAAAUCCUUUGAUAAACAAGAAGUCAGAAUAACUUAGGGCGCAAGUAAUCGGCUUAAAUACACUUGUUCUACAUCUGCCAUACAGAGAUGGCAAUGGUAUGCCUCCGCAGUCAGUUAGUUUUGAUUGUGAGCCUUAAGGCCACCUAAGGCCCCCAUAAAGGCACCUUUCAGAACUGACUGUUUCCUGCUCUUGCAACCUCUUAAUAGGUAGGAGCUCGACAACCAACCAAAGUGCCAACUCCUCGGGGAGCUGUGUGCUCAAGCCAGGAACACCCACCAUUCAAGAUUUCCUGCCCGAACAUAAUGUGCGGCCUCGAUACUAACCCAAUGAUGUGAAGUUUUUAUCUGUAUGGCUCAGAAGCCAAAGAGGGGCAUCAAUCUCAUCUGGUAGAUCAUAUCAUAUUUGAUGAAUCUGAGAACGUGACUGUUGAAGCUAGCAAGAGACUCAUAAUGCUUUCCUACCCAAAGCUUUCGAAUACCAUUUGUUCCAUUGUUAUGUGGAAAUCUGCUAAUAAUUGGUUAAAUAAAUCUAUGAUUUAACUGCACCAUUACAGGAAAAAAUAAUGUAUAUAGAACAAGUAAAUAAUAAUUCAACGUUUAAGUGUUAUCUUGCCAUACUUGUGUAGUCAGACAAAUAGUAUGUAGAUCGGCUCUUAAUAAAUUUGAAUCAAACAGUUAAUUAGGAGCCGUUUGGUAACCAUUUUGUUUUCACAUUUUUUGAAAACUAAAAUCUUGUUUGUUAACUACUUUCAGUUUUAGUUUUCAAACUAUUUUCUUGAGUUUUCAAAACUAAAAGUAGUUACCAAGCAAAAUUUCAGUUUUCAGAUUUCAGUUUUAAAAAAAAAAGAAAAGAUUUUAUCAAUAACAGCCAGAAUUUAACACAUAACUUCAUAAAUGUCAUUUUUUAUAAUAUCUUUUAAAAAUAACAGAAAAUCCACUUAAAUAGACUUAAAUACCCUUCUUUGGUAUUAAAACAACCAAAAGCUUAAAUGCCCUGCUUUGAAAAGCAAGAGAUAGCUUGGUAUGGGAAGUUUUAGUGCAGAUGUUAUGGCUUUAAUUCACAUCACUUUCAUUUGGAUUCAUGAUUUCCAGGAAGCCAAUGAAGAACCAGUAGAGUGAGCAAAACUAAACAAUCACGGUGGUUGCCUUCUAAUGAAGGGUUUGUGAAACUAAAUGUGGAUGGAGCCAUAAGGAUAACGGAUGGGAAAGGAGGUGCAAUAAUGAUCAUCAUUGGUUCCAAUAAUGACGAUCAUACAACACACCUGAAGCACUUUUCCACUUCAGCCAUCCAGCUUAUAUACCAUGAUAUAAAUCUCCUUUGGAUUCUCCAUUCUUUUGCAAGAUAGAUCAAAGAUAGCGAAAGCGUUCAUCUUCGGUACUUCAUGAUCCAAUCAUCAUUCCUACCUCGUUUGGACGCCUAUUCCACUGAACUUAAAACUCCAUAUACUAUGCAUUUGACCUACUUAGACAAAGACCUUUAGACUCCUAGCCAAAAGUUAAGCUCCAAUGUACUUCCUCAUGCAUUUCAUCUAUCAGCAUUAUAUCAUUUGUGAAAAGCAUACACCAAGGGAUAUCAUUUUGAAUUUGUCUCGUUAACUCGUCCAUUACCAAUAUAAAAAGGUAAGGACUUAAAGCUGAGCCUUGGUGUAACCUUAUGGUUAUAGGAAAAUUUUCAGUUUGUCCUUUAUGAGUUCUUACUGCAAUUCUUGCUCCAUCAUAUAUAUCCUUUAUUGCUUGGAUAUAUGCUACUCGUACUCAUUUCUUGCCAAACUUCUUCACUAAGUUCUUGGCAUACUUUGUUUGAAAGAUGAAGAUGCCAUCCUUUUCUUGUUUUACUUGAAGUACAAGGAAGUAGUUUAAUUCACCAACCAAGCUCAUCUCAAAUUCAUUCGUCAUCAUAUUGAUAAAUUGUUUCACAAGAGAAUCAAAAGUAGACCCAACAACUAUGUCAUCCACAUACACUUGAGCAAUCACAACAUGAGAUUGAACCUUUUUAACAAACAAGGUUUUAUCAACAAAGGCACGAGUACAACCAUAAGCAAGAAGAUAAGAAGACAACCUGUCAUACCAAGCACUUGGGGCUUGUUUAAGAUCGUAGAGAGCUUUCGUCAGUUUGAACACCCCAUCUGGCUUGUGAGGAUCCUUAAAACCCUUAGGUUGUUCCAUGUAGACUUCUUCAUUAAGAUAUCCAUUACGGAAUGCGGUUUUGACAUCAAUUUGAAAAAGCUUGAACUUUAAAUGUCAUGCAAUUGCACAAAGAAGUCUAAUUAAUUCAAGAGAGUAACAGGAGCGAAGGUUUCAUCAAAAUCAACACCUUCAAGUUGAGAGUAUCCUUGAGCAACAAGCCUGGCCUUAUUUCUGAUCACAUUUCCUGACUCACCAGACAUGUUCUUGUAAAUCCAUUUUGUGCCAAUAACAUUAGUGUUCGAUGGACGAUCAACAAAGGACCAGACUUCAUUCCUCUCAAACUGAUUUAGCUCUUCCUACAUGACUAAGACCCAUUCUUCAUCAGUUAGAGCAUCUUUGAUAUUCUUGGGCUCAAUUUGGGAAACAUAGCAAACAUUUGCAACUUCAUUAGUUAUUUGUCUUCGAGUUCUAACAUUUUUGUCAAUCGAACCCACAAUUUCCUCAUCACGAUGAUCUCUAGCCCACUUCAGUUUAUCCUUGAAUAGGACAUGAGAAUCUUUGAUUGGUGCUUGAUUCACUUUCGUUGUCAUUUUCUGACACCAUACUUGACUCACCAGAAGCAUCACCAUUUCGUUGUCAUUUUUUCUUUCCACUACACCAUUUUGUUGAGGGAUGAUUGGAGCAGAAAACUCAUGCUUGAUGCCGUUGGUUGAACAGAAAUCAUCAAAGCGAGCAUUCUCAAAUCCGGUUCCAUGAUCAGUUCUAAUUCUGACUAGAGCAAGAUGGCUAGACAGAGAUUCAUUCAACAUUACUUUGUACAUAGUGAGGAACUAUUGAAAGGUAUCAGAUUUUUCCCUUAAAAAGCAUACCCAAGUAAAUCUAGAGUAGUCAUCCAUAAUUACCAAGAUGUAAUUCUUACCACCAAGAGAUAAAGUCUAAAUUGGUCCAACAAGAUCCAUAUGAACUAAUUGAAGAGGCUUAGUUGUUCCAAUGUCAGUCACUUUCUUGUGUGCCACCCUAGAUUGUUUUCCCAAUUGACAUUGUAAACACGAAAAUUUUGUAACGAAUGAAACGAGAACACGUGUACAAAGUAGAUUUGUAUUGAUGAAUUUAUAGGGUUACAAUCUCUGUAUAUAAUUUUCCCUCUGAUUCAGUCUUUAAAUUUGAUGUAGAUGGUUGAUUGUUAAUCCAAGAGUCGCGAUGACUUGAUCUCAGACGAAUGAUUGAAUGAUUUGCAUCAAGUUUUGAGCUUGAAACAAUGUGUGGAUAGUUUUCACCUCAAGGUUUGUGUAUGACCUACGAUAAAGGUGAUGUUGAUGCGGGAUUUUGUUGAUUCAAGGGUCUUGACAACUUGAUCUUGAAUUGAACAUCGUUACAAGUUUUGAGCUUGCAACAAAGUUUUGAAGGAAUCGGCAGUGCUUGUUCAUUCUUCAAGGGAAUGCUUCGUCUUUGGUUAAAAGAAAGCUUCAGCUUUGGUUGUGCGUUCUUUGAAGAGGGCUUUGGUAGCAUAUUAGUCUUCAAAGAUUUGGUGCAGAGAUUCCUCUGGGUGUAGAAUUGCCGACCCCUAUUUGUGUUUGCGACCUUGUAUUUAUAGACUUCCAAAGCCAUGUCUUUGGAUGGAUUUGACUUUGAUUUGUGUCUUGAUUCAUCCAUGGGAGAAUUUAGGCAUUUUUGUGUCUUAAGUUCAGCCACUUUCCCUUGCUUGCCCGAAUUAUAGGGCUUUCUUGCCUAUUUUGUGAGCAAUCUUCAAUUCUUGCUUGUUUUAUGAAGAUACUUUAACUUUCUUUUCAGUUUUGGGAGCAAUUUGGGCCCCUUGCCGAUUUUAAGGAGAUUUAUUCCCAUUUGCUGCAUUUUAGAAUGCUUUUGAGCUUCCUUUGCUUGAUUUGUGCUACAUGUCAUUUAUGACUUGUCCAUUUAUGAUGGGUCCUAUGCCACGUGGAGAUGUGUGAUGCAUCAUUUGUAUGCAAUGAAAUUUACAUAUCUACAAACAUGAUCCACAAACAUAGGAGUCAGAAACAAAAAUAGAUGGAAGGCCCUUCACAACCUCAUGUUUGGACAACUUCUUAAGGUACUUGAAGUUUACAUGCCCAAGUCUCUUAUGCCACAAUAUACUAGUUUCAUCAAUAGUUUUGUGGCACUUGGAGUAUUCAGCAACUUUAGAGACAUCAAGAAUGUAGCAAUUGUCUCCAGAUCUCGGGAGUACAUGCAAGUUCUUUCCAUGUUCAUCCACAGUCCAACACCCUUUUUUUGAGAAACACACUUCAUCAACCACAUCAUCACACAAUUGGCUAAUGCUAAUGAGAUUUGACUUCAACCCAUCAACAUAGCUAACAUUUUCAAGCUUAGGUAAUCCAGGGAUUUUGAUAUCACAUUUCCUUGUGAUCUGAGACUUGUCUCCACCACCAAACACAACACCACCGCAAAUAAAAGGAGUAAGAGAUGAGAAAGCCUCAUUGUCUCCAGUCAUGUGACGAGUGCACCCACUAUCAAGAUUCCAUACAUUUGGCUUGGUAAUAGAUAGAGCAUUUAGAACAACAAGACACAUGUUCAAGGCCUUCUGAACCCACUUUGGACUUUGCUUAAUAUUUCAAGAUGAACAAGACUGAACAAGCUAAGCAAUUCUAUUGACCUCGAUGACCAAGCGAUCUACCUGACCCUUCAGCAAAUUAGUCUUUCCAGAGUACAAUUUUCUACAUUUUGGACGAAUGUGCCCAACUUCACCGCAGUGAUGACACGUAGGAACAGAUCUUGUCUUUGGACAUGGUUUGACUUUCUAAGAUAUAGCCCUAGAUUCUCUCACAAAUUUUGUUUUGGUGAGGAUAGAAAUUGAGCCACUUUCUACAUAACCAAGACCACUUUUGUCAUCGUAUAGUUUUCUGAUACUCAGCAUCUUGUCAAUUUUUCAACCCUAAUAGUGAGACGAAUAACCUUAUCAUUUGCCUCAUUCAGUUCAAGUAGUUGUUUCCUGUUGGCUUCAUGAUACAUCACAUUAUUUGCCUUCAAUGCAUGAAUUUGAUUCAUCAAGUUCUCUUGAGAUUCUAGUAAGUUUUGAACCUGAGCUUCAAGAGUAGUAAUAACAUCAUCCUUUUCAACUUUUUCAUUGCAAUUAAAAGCCUUCUCAUUCAACUCCUCAACAUAGGCCUCAAGAUAACCAAUUUUUUCAUCCAAUUCAAUUCUAACUAGACAAAGAGACAUGUUUUCUUUCUGUAAUACAACAACCUUCUUAGCUAGCUCAAUCCUCUCCACUUUUGUAGUACAAGUCUCAUCAAAGAGAGAAUCAUACUUUAUGCACAAUUCAUCAUACGACAUCUCCUCAUUGCCAUUCAGAACAGAAUCAUCAUCACUCAGAGACACUUCCUCAAUUGGAGCAACAAAAGCAACAAUCUUUUCUUCAUUGUCUGAUAACUCAUCAGAAUGCACAGAACCUUGAUCAUUUUAUCACUCCAAGUAACCAUCAUCGCCUUUUUAUUCUUUUGACCAAGGAGUUUGAUGUUAGCAUAAUCAACAGCACGGUGCCCACUUCCCCCACAUGUAAAGUAGGGACCAGGUACCUUUAACACACCUUUGUCUCAUUUUCUAGUGAACCUUUUGUGCUUCACUCCAGUAGAUUGUUUUUCCCGAUUGUUUGAUGACUUACCAAACUAUUUAGAAUCAUUUCCUUUGUUUUUUAGAAUUCUUCUGAGUUGUCUGACAAAUCGGGCAAGAUCAUCUUCUGAGACAUGUCUACACUCAUCACCAACAACCUCACAUUUCUCAACACUUUGAAAGGCCACUUCUUUUAUCUUCUUGGAGUCACUUUCAUCCAUUUCAAGCUCCAAGUCAUAGGUAAUGAGCUUCCCAACUAAUUUUCCAAGCUUGAUCUCAUUUAGGUCCUGAAACUCUUGAAUGACAGCCUUCUUUGCUUGAAAUCUCUUGGGCAAGCAUCUCAAAAUCUUUUGAACAACGGUUGUUUAAUCAAUAAGCUUCAUUAACCCCAAGACAUUUAUUUGUUAACAUUUCAAUUUUCUCAAAGAAGACCAAGAAAGUCUCAGACUCGAGCAUUCUCCAAUCUUCAAAUUUCGAAAGGGUCAUUUGAAGCUUUAAGUUUCUCACUUGUUUAUCACCCUAAUGAAGAAUUUAGAGUUUGUCCCAACCUUGCUUGGCAGUUGUGAAAUAUCAAACAUGAGCAAACUGAUUAGACAAAAUGGCAGAAACAAUUGCAUUCUUUGCUUUCCUAUUAGCCAUGGCCGAAGCAAUUUCUUCUUGAGUCCAUUCACCUUUUGGCUUCAUCACAAACUUUCUAUUGACUAGCCUCGAUGGAGCCUUCCACUUAAGAGAAAGAUAAUCAAUAGCUAUAAGAUCUUAAGCCUCAAUGAAUAUCUGAAACUUCUUGUUCCAAGCAGCAUAAUUUGUACCAUCAAAGAACGGAUGUGUAUUGCAUGAGCCACUGACACGACACGAUCCAUGGUGGGAUUCUACCUAAUACCAGAAAAUCUCAUAUAUCACUCUAUGUAUAUCUAGAGCAAGGCUCUAAUACCAAUUGAAAUUGGGACCAAGCAGAAUAUCCUGUAUAUAAAAAUUAUAAUAUGCUAGACUGACUAGUCAAGCCCGCUAGUCAACUCAAAUAGAUUUGUUAAUCAACAAAUCAAAGAUUCAAUUACCAAUUUCAGUUACCAAAAACUAUCAUAGUCAGCAAGGCAUCAGUUUGUUGCAAGUUAUUAAUGUGUCAAGAGGGCAAGAUUGUGAACACAUACCAUUUAACUGUUCAACAAAUAUAUGUAUCAAGUAUGUGUAUGUGAGAUACGUGACACAAUAAAAAUAACUUGAACACAAGAUAUUUUUAGCUGGAAAAACCCACCUCUGGGUUAAAAAACUGGGGACUCUCCACUGAGUCCAAUCCACUAGUAUAAAUAAAGGUUCAUAAAAAGACCACACAAGCUCAAUUUCUAGAUCCCUAUUUAUGGAGCAGCUUUACCUUUAUGCAACAUUGUCUUACACGAGAUGGACUCCUUUGGUCUUCACGAAGUGGCAGCUCCUCUUGAGCUCAUCACCUUGUGGCACUAAGAUCAAGACAAUCAAUGAUAUGAUAUGAUUUUAUAAUAUGCACAUGAAAUCUGGAUUUAAAUGACCAUUCAGGUUCUCCAGUCAAACAGUUGAAGGAAGAAUCUAACUUGAAUCAAAAAGCUUGGUCUAAAAACGAAUUUAAAGCUUAAAACCAAACCAAGACAUAAAUGCAAAACCUUAAAACAAUGCAACCCUAAUAUACAAUGAUUGGGUGUUUAAUGCAUGAGGAAGGUUUGGUAGUUAGGGUUUCAUAAUUGAAGAAGAUGCAAGCUUAAAGCCUUGAAGACAACUAUCUCUCUCUAAAAACUAAGUUCAAAAACCCCUAAGAACAAUCUAAAACCCUAGAAGUAAAUAUACCCAAGAAAAUCAUAUUUUCCAUCAGCUAACUUAUCCCAAGGACAUUUGUCGGCUACAAAAGAGAUCUAGGCAAAUCAAUGGCAAGAAACUGACCACCAUUAGAAAGGUGUCAUUUAGCCCAUGUGGACUAUCUUAAUUAGUGUGCCUAAACAGCUGGAAGUCAGCGCGCAAAACUGACUAGACAAUCAAACUAGACAGAAUGCAACACAAAAAGUGAUAGGAAAUGCACAUGCAUGAACAAACCUUUUGAUGUGAAAUAAGCCACUUCAUGAACAUUUCCUCCAGUAGCAAUAGCCCAUAAUUGGAGUUUAUUCUAAAGCUAGAUUAAGCAUGUGGUACACAAAUACAAUAUUUAACAAGGAAAGCUAAACACUUUAAAUUAGACUUUACACAAACAGUAAGGUUGUGGAUUAUAACAUUCAAACCUAGGCUCUACGCCAUUAUGCGGAAUAGUCAAAAGGGCGAUCCGGAAAUCAUUCGAAUGUGGCUCUAAACUCCGGCCCCGAGUACGACUACUUCUAUCCUGAACUAGCAUAUUAAGCCAAGUAUUCGUAUGUUAGCAGGUUCAAAAAGGGCAUCCAGACUAGGUAAUCCCAAAGAGGAAUUUUAUUCCAAAAUAGCUCUAAUACGCGGAAAAACUUUGGCCAAGUCAACCAAGGUGGUCUGAUAGGAAACACUCAGGUCUGACACAUAAGGUUUGACAAAAGGAUUCAAAAAGUGUUUCCGACCCACAUGCCGACGACCAAGUUUCCAAAGAACUUUUGUUUAAAAUUCACUAGAAACGGACAUGUGAUCUAGUUUAGAAAGAAAAAUCCAUUUUUUGACUAUGUUGCAAGUAGGCCUGGCAAACAGGCCAUGUUUAUCGUGUUCGUGUCGUUUUCGUGUAACACCUGUUAUCUUAACAAGUUAUGUCGUGUCACACCUAUUAUCUUAACAGGUUUUUAACAGGUCAGGUCAUUUCGGAUCAUUUUACCCUACAAGUAAAAUGACCCAACCCGUUAUGACCCGUUUAGAAAAAUAUUUUUUUUUAUAAAUUUGAACAUACCACAUUGUCACAUAAAAAUUACUUCAAAACAUAAAAACACAUUUGUUGUUAACUACUGCAUACUCCAAAAUAAGAGCCUAAUAAAAAAAAAACAUCAAUACACUACUACAAAAUAUCAAAUGUCCAAGGAUAUGAAAAAUGAAGGAGUUUUUCUUUUCAAGGUUGUGAAGCCUUUCUUAGAAGUUAAGACCUUGCCAAAGAAACUCAGAGCUUACAUGUUGUUCUUUUUACAAAAUCCUUCAAUUUUCAUCGAUCAUCAUGGGAAAAAUAGUAUUGGAACUUUGGCCUGAUUUAUUGUCUUCAAUAGUUAUAUGAUGAGAGAGAGUUUGAUUUAGGGCUGAGAAAAACAUUAGGUGGCCGAGAUUAAAUUUCAGCUGGUCCAACAGUCAUCAAUUUUCUACAUUUAAUUUAUAUAUAUAUAUAUAUAUAUAUAUAUAUAUUUAACUUUCAGUUCGGUUGGGGAUUAAAUUAUACUAUUUUAGUGGUAUAAAAUUAUUAAAUUAAUAUUUUUCUUAUUGUGUAAUGGGUACGUACGUGUAUACCUAUAUCAGCCCAUUAUUUUAACUGGUGCUUAUUGGGUUACCUGAUAACGACCCGAUUCAUUAUUAUAUCGACCCGAAAACCUGUUAAUUUCAUGACGUUUCGUGUCGGGUUAACAGGUCAUGUCAAAAAUUGCUAGCCAAAGACUAGGGCAGGUAAAAAUAGUUGAUUAUCAUUUAAUUUUCUUUUCACAGGUAGCUUCAAACUUAAACUUCUUCAAUCCGAUAAAUGUAUUGAUAAGCAUGGAGCAAAGGGUCCUUCAAUUGUUUAAUGUUCAAUUCCUGGUACCGAAGCAAGGUGGUCCUCCAACUAUUAUGACGAGGAUCCUUUACUGAUGCUAAGUUUGGGAGGUAAUGUUUUUCUGAAUCAACAUUAUCAAGGAGGCUUUUUUAGCCAUGUCCUAGGCCCAUAAACUUAUUCGCAUUCUGCUAUGUUGCUUAUUUAUUACUUAAAGUUCGUUUACUUUACAAAAAUUUAUCGGAUUAAGAAUCUCUUCACAUUUACAAAGACAAAAAAAAUAGUCACACAAGCACAUACUCAUUAUCCAAUUCCCAAUAUGAGGGACCAAAUGGGUAUAGUGUUUGGGGGAGACAAGCUCUCCCCCUAGCAAAAGGAAAAUCUUGAAGACAAGGCGACAUGUUGGACCAAAAUCAUUAGUGUUGAAAAGAUACCACUAUCAGAUCAGUGGCAUACUAUGCCCAUCUUGCUGCAUUCUGAGCACGACACUACAUUGAGGGUGAGCAUUUUGAUGGAAAUUUUCCACCGUCGUCGUCCAUAAGCAAAGGAAGAGGAAGAAAGCGGUGAUGGAAAACCCUAAUGUAACCUCAACACCUCGAGGAGAUUGGACUCAAAUGCAAAUCCUGCAUCGUGAGUGCCAGAAAAGGAUGAAUGUUAUGAAAUAAAUCGCAAGAAGUGAAGGACAUUAAGAUAGAACUAUGGCUAAAUAAGGAAAUAUUUAGCUUUGUUUGACAGAAAUCGACAAACACAAGGAAGAAUUUUGGUUGGAGGAUUCUCGACAUCAAAGGAUCAAAGAAGAAACUGACAACGGAAGCUUUGGUUAGAACAUAAGAGUUCAAUAAUGCAGAAACGAAAGUGGUUGUGAAAAUCUCAAAAGAGAAGCAGUUAUUUAAAAGCAAAUCAUUAGAAGAUUUCACCAUUGAAAACAAAGAGUCGUGUACCUUGGGAUCAAUAUGUGCAAAGAUCAAAGCCAAUUAAUGAAACGUGUGGAGAAUCAUGCACACAAAAUAGAGGCGUUCAUCAUCAUUGCAGUUGAGUUUUCACGAUUCUAGAGGUCGUGUGAUGGAAACCGAAGCAACCAACUACCCCGCUUUGUCAGAGUGCUAAACUAGCUCACAAAGAAUCUAAAGACUAAACGGUACGUUUUCUAGCUUACUCCAAAAGGCAUCAUCUUUGGUUAACAAUUCAUCCUCAAAAGGAACAAUUUGGCUCUUAGAUAAAUGGUUAAGGGCAAUUAUGGGACCAUGAUUUUCUUGAGUCGAAGUAAGGCUGAUCCAAAUACAGUUACCUUAGAAGUUCGGUCAUGGACUCACCAGCUCCGAGGCGGAGCUGUAUUAGACAUAACAGUGGUGUUACCGUCAGCGACUCCACUGGAUGACCAUGCUUGUCCCGCAGAACACGUGAUCUAAUCCAAAUAUGGACAUAAUUAGAUCCUUUAAGUCUUGGAGUUCCUAUAAUCUAGGAAUUGGCGUGUGCUGUAAGUAAUCAUAACUACUAAGAGGAUGAAAUAUCUACUUUUAGAUAUCCUCUAAGAGAUUCUCCCGGCUUAGAACGAGGAUUCUAUCCUAAAAAUGUCUAUCUCCCCACGGUAUAAUACACCCAUCUAGGUUCAUCUAUUGUAAUGCCAAUCUAAAUACUUCAAUACAUUAGCCCACUGCUUGAGUCUAAAAUCACUGACUAACUUGACCAUCGAAGAGCCUUUGGACAGCACACCCCCUCCUCCUGCACCGGUCUCAAGCUUGCUCACAGUUGUUUACUGUUUUGCAGGUUACUCGAGUUUGUGCUCAACCACCACUCACAAUGGUGCACGAAUUUGGUUCCAACAGAAUGGUUUCGUCAUACAAAUGCCUUUUCCUUUUGAUCAGGCCAAGAUCUCUCCAUUUCUUGCAAUUCAUCAUUUUCAUCAAAUUCACUCUCUUUCUCUCUCUCCAAAAUUCAUCCAUUGUAAACUGAUCAGCUCCCUCUUUAGCAUUCACCUACAACAUCUCUUCCCAAAUCUCUCUAUCUCUCAUAGUCCCUCAAAGAUAUUACAUUUAAUCUUAAUAACUUUGAAGUUGUGAAAUUUGUAAUUAAAUCAUGUGUUCUUAGUUUAUAUUGUGAAUUUGUUAUAUAUAUAUUGUGAAUGUGUUCUUGAUUAGUAUGUUUUAAUAUUUGUAAGAAUUUUGUUUAAAAACAAUUGGGGAGAUUGUUGAGGGAUAGGUUUGGAAUGUUGAGAGAUAGGUUGUAUGGCCGAGUUGGGGAGGGGGACAGGUUUGGGGAAUAAAAAAGGUUUGGGGACAGGAACCGUAAAGAGGGGUACAUGUUUGGGGAAGGGGACGAGUAGGGAUGGGGAUGGUUGGGGAGGGAGAUGAGUGGGGAUGGGAACGGUUGGGGAGUGAGACAAGGUGGGAUAAGACAUCGGGUGAUAUGAUAAAGAUAAUUUUUUUGUUAUAUUACAAUUUUUUAGAAAUAUCACCAUUUUUGUGUAUAUUAUAAAUUCUUAUAAAAUAUUAGACAUAUUUAGAAAAGUUGGGAAUUUCUAGAAUUUUUUUACAUAGAUACCUAGGCGCCACAUUGUCGUCACCAUUUUUCUUGUCUAACGAGUCAUGGUUGAAUAUGACACAGGACAUGGGCGUCCAGCAUCCCCACGGGUUCAUUCAAUGUUGAAUUAAUCGAUACGUGUAAUCAUCUGCCUUAACUGCCCUUUGACUACCCAUAAAUGGAGGAACAUCUCCUCCGAAGUGAAGCAAGCCCUAAUGGCAGAGCUCUCAGGUGUUUUUUUUAUUUAUAAUAUUUUAAUAAUUUAAUUAUGAUAAUUACUAAAUUAUUGUACUUUUAUAACUAACACUUGUUUUUUGUCUAUUUCAGAUCAAUUUUGAUAUUAAUGUAGAACACUCACGUACGUUAGACUGCGUUAAUCGGCUGUGAACUAAGAGAUUCAAAGAGUGGAUGUUCGAGCUGCGCACCCAGUACAGGACUUUGCAAGUCAUGAAGAAGCUCUGACCCAUCCAUCCCAUGAAUUUGCAAAUACAAUGGACUAGUGGGAGUGGCUCUGUGGUUAUUUUCAGAAUUUAUAAAUUCUGGAAAUAACAUCUUCCAUGGGACGAGUGAAGUUGUUUAUUAUCCGGAAUAAUUUUUGCUUUCCAAUAAUGUUGUAAGAACUUUGAUAUUAAUUAAAUAAAUUUGUUUAAUAUUAUGAUAUUAAUAUAAUAAUAGUUAAUUAUUUUUUUAAUUUAAUGUACAUGUUGCACGACGACCCUAUCCUUCGGCCAACGAUAUCAACUAAUUUUUCCUCUUCAGUUAAAGCAUGUCGGCGGGCAAAGUUGACAAAAAAUUAUUUUUAUACAAAUUUAGUUUUUGCACAACGACAAGUUUUCGUCGCCAUGUUCAUCAGGCAAGACCUCGUUGCCCGACGAAAGUGUUUUACGACUGCUUUUGCUCGACGACUUUUACCUGACGGAAUUUCAUCGCCUUAUCUUUUUUCGCGACGAACAUUGUCCUUAAGAGACGUAACAGAAUUCAUCUCCCAAGUCGGUUUUUUCGUAGUGUAUAUCUACUGAUUUUUUAUAAUGCAACUCCCUUUUAAUUGAUAGUUAUUCAAUCCUAGUAACCCAAAAGCUACACACAUAUCUUUUUGCUUACAGUUGAUUUUAACAAAAUCCCAGCAGUCUGCAUAAAUUUUCUAGAAUAUUCGAUAAUUAUCUCUGGGAAGAAUGCUAUAUUUUUCACUUUACUUACCGAAACGUAAUGAAAGUUCAUAGUAAUCUUCACUCAACUAAUGAAAGAGUAAGCAGCCUAAUUAAGAUAUAGGGCAUAAGAUAUAAAAAUAAAUGAGUUGGGGUUGAAUUGUUAAUAACAAAAUAUUCAAAGUUUGUUAAAAUAAAGAAAGUUGUUGGAGAUGGAAAGUUAAACUAAAUAGCUAAAUUAAUUUUUUGGCACUUUUGACUUGCUAGUUAAUAAAAAUUUAGAGCUUUUUAUAUAGAUGUUUAUAGUGUUAGAGGCUUAGAGCAUCUUCAAGAGACUUUUUAAUAUAACUAGUGGCGGAUCCAAAAUUCUACCAUCGGGUGGUUCUAAUCAAGGCACGCUAGGAUAGGCGCUACUCUGGUGGCGAGUUGGGGCCUAGGCGAACUAGGCAGAUUUAAAUAAAUUUAAUAUAUAACAUAUAAUAAGCGCCUAUUUACACUUUAAAAAACUACACUUAUGUUUAGGAUUUGAGUUUAUUAUUUUAAAUAGGUUUAUUAUUUGACAUAUAGCUAUUUGGGCCCAAAAAUAUCAGUUUGGGCCGAGUAUAGAAUUAUUCUCAGCCCAGCGUUUAGUUCUGGACCGGUUAGGUCGUGGGCUUCCUAACCUGGGUCAGUUAAGCCAUGCUGUAAGACGAGUCGAAUCCUGGUGCAAUUAGGAGUCUCGGCAAGAUUAAUAACCCCGAAGUGAAUCCGGCUUAAUAAAGGACUAGGUUCACAAUUAUGGUGAAAAUAGGACUAAUCGAGUUGGUAUUUGAUCAGGAGAAAAAGUCCUAUUCCGGGUAGGGUUUUAACUCGACCUUGAAGGUAUCCGGUGCUAUAAAUAGAGGAGGUUGUACAUCAUUCAGGCCCCUCCAAUUCAACACACAACUGCCCUGCGCAAACUCUCUCAACAACUUUGAGAUUUUUAUUUUCCCUUUUCACUUACACAUCUUCCGUUGGCAUCAACAACACUGUGAAAGCAACCGGUGAUAUCUUAAGUCGGCAUAGAUAGCUCUGUUGCCGUAGAAUCAGUCGGUCUCACAACAUCUUCCGUUGGCAUCAACAGCACUGCGGCGAGGACGGUUGGUUAUCUAUCCAAGUCUCGGUCGAGAAGGAUUUCUGAAUCCUUAUUGAUUGAGGUCAUCUCAUUAGCCUUCUCGGCGAAGUGAGGUGUUACAGUUUACUGAGCUCGGCGCAUUGCACGCCGAGUAAUUUUAUGAUUGGAUACUCUCAAGUGGGAUUUAGAGUUCGGCAUUCAGACGGCCGAACCACGUUCACUAUUAAGACUUAUAUUCACUUUGAGUAUUUAUGCCCUUACACUUUGGUGUCGAUUCGGCGUGAGUUUACUCUUACGAACAACAUCACUGUGACCAAAUCCGACGACAGCGAUUCGUGAACUUCGUAAGAAUAGUAGGCUUGUCUUCAGGUUCGAGAACCCAAGAGGCCGAGACGUGUUCCUUCCUCAGUUGCAAUCGUAAGACGCAGAAGUCAGCCGCGCACCCAACGUAACAUCAAUAAAUUUACUCCUCGGUCGAUGAGUUGGCAAGCCCCGCAUUCAUCGAAUGACGUAGUUAGCUUAUAGAUUACUCGGCCUGCGCGCCACGUAGGUUUGGUAGUUUUUAGGGUCAACAUUUUGGCACGCCCAGUGGGACCCAGUGCUAAACUACGAAGUUCAUGCUAAUUGAAACGCGAUCGGUAAAAAAGAAAACUAUGGGAAAAUCAACAGCCAAUUUGCCAAUUCAGAACAUAGGACAAAGUGUGCCACAUGCGUAGAUUCCCAUCAGCGUCGUAACACCUGAGUCCACGAGCGCGACUCGUCGAGAAAGGGAAGUUAAUCUCGGCGGUCAGUUUCACAGUCUUGAAAUCCCUGACAAGAACACAUGCGUUCUUAAUGAAGGGAUAAUAGAGGAUUGUGACGAGGAUGGUGGCGAAGGAUCUGAUCCACCAACAAGGUCGUUUCUUCGAAAAUGACUUGACGAGCAAUCUCGGACGAUUGAACAGACGUUUAGUCGAGGAAUCGAUAAACUUCAUGACGUGAUACGCAAUACCAGUGAGGCACAAACCAGAUUACUCGAAAUACUGGUUACUAAGGUCAGCGACGGUAGGUCUUUCAAUCUUGCCCAGCACUUGCCACCAAGAAAUAAUCUAUUACCAAGUGCACCGGCCGAGUCAAUCCCUGCUAGGCUCAAACCAAUUAACUUGGAAAAAUGAGGAGGAUCGAAUAGUAGGUCAGACGGAUCCAACCAGAGAGUGGAAGCAACACCUGUCGAUAUGAUCGAGGUCCAACGGAUGAUCGAUUCGGCCAUGAAGAAAGGGCCGAAGUUCCCUAAAUUUAUACAUUCAUAUCCAGCUUAUGUGGAACAGUUCGAAUACCCUAGAGGUUUCAAAAUCCUGGAUUUCAGCCUUUUCACCGGAGAAUCAUCCUUAUCCUCAUUAGAACAUAUGGCUCGUUUCACCGCGCAAUGCGGAGAUGUCAAUAGCGACUUUCACAAGUUGCGACUUUUCAACUUUUUGCUGAUAGGUUCAGCGUUUGCUUGGUAUAUCAACCUCCCACCGAAUUCUGUCCAGAGCUGGGAGGAGUUGGUCGAGAAAUUUCAUGAGCAGUUUUAUCGGCCAGGGAUGAAAAUGUCAAUGUCCUCGUUAGCAAGGAUGGCUCAAGCAUCCGACGAGUCACCAAUGGAUUAUCUUACCAGAUUUAAAUCAGCCAGGAAUUGGUGUCGAGUACCUCUCCCCGAAGUCAAAUUCGUCAGACUUGCUCUGAACGGUCUUAACGUAGAAUACAAAAAGAAAUUCUUGGGGGCAAACUUUCGGGAUAUGUAUGAACUAGCCCAGCAUGUCGAGCAAUAUGAUUAUUUGCUCCGCGAAGAAAAGAUUUCGAAAGCUCUAUCUCGAGGGACAAUCUACAAAAAUCCCACUGUCAACUACGCAUCGACCGAAGGUGAAUGCGUUAGCAUGGACGCAGUUGAAAUAGUAAUAGAUAAGCCAUACGUUUGCAAGGCGCUGACUCAAAUUGACUCUAAGGAAGUCAAAACCCGCUCGGCCACUGAAGAAACAAUGAAAUCGUCAAAAGUUUAUACUUUUGAUAUUACAAAGGCCGAUGCAAUUUUUGAUCAAUUGUUAUCAGUGAGGAUCAUCAGACUUUGGCCUGGGCAUAACAUUCCCAAGGCCGAAGAGCUUAAAGGAAAGAUAUAUUGCAAAUACCAUAAUUCAAGCAAACAUAUGACAAAUAAUUGCAUCGUGUUUCGAGACAACAUCGAAAGUUGGAUUGAUAAUGGCAAACUCAGAUUUCCGGAGAAGAAUAUGAGUGUUGAUACUGACCUAUUUCCCACGGCAACAGUAAAUAUGGUAAAUGCACGCCUACCUAAGGACAAAGGAAAAGGGAAGGCCGAAGCUGUUACAACGCAACGCGUUCUGAAUCAGAAUUCUCGGCCAUGUUUCACUGCUGAUUUUCAUUCAAACAAACCACCUACAGCUCUAACAGGACCCGCUAUUGUCAAGCCCAUGACAGAAUACAGCACUGACGAAGAAGGUGGGUCGGCGCUUUUAUGCAGAAAGUGUAAAGCAAAUGUCAACACCGAGCCAAAGGAAAAGUUAUCUCCGGCUAUAAUGGAACAACCUACAGCCGCCACACAGUAAAAAGAGCUCAACGCAGGCCAACAUCAAGGGGUUUUUUAUAGGCUCGGCCUUAAAGUACGGGUGGAAGAAACACCUUCGGUCAGACGGCACCUGAUUUUGAUGCCCCGUUUUAUGACGAAGAUUAUUACAUCUGCAAUUCUAGCAGCUCAGAAUCAUCGCAGAGCCAAAAAACUUUCAAACCUCCCGAACCUCGAGAUCAGCGUUGGUAUACAUAUCACUCCUCGAAAGGUGUAUACAUUGCACUGUCCAAAUCCCAAAAACAUUGGCACCAAAGAAUAGACUGCAUGGAGCGCCGACAGGCAGCCCAAGAAAUUUCGAUCCCUAAAUGGCGGCCGAAGGAAACAGUUGCCAAUGAUGAUGAACGACCAUCUCCAACUAUUAUGACAGAGCUGGUUCAAGGGAAACGGCUAGUCAAUCGAGAUGUUGAAACCACAUUUGAGGAGGCUGAUAAACGGAUCAAACUUCUUCUCCGGCCUGGAGAAAUGAAGGCACGCUUUGAGCAUUUCAGGCAAAAAGCUGAAAGCAAACUGUCCCUGCCAACCAUACAAGAACCUUUGAUCAAAAUUCAAUCGAUAUAUGCAAGAAUUUCAUAAAAAAACAUUCGGCCAAUGAUCUAUAUGGUUUGCCGAAAGCAUGUCAAGAUACAAUCGAUAUCGUUCUAACUUGCCCGAAUGCCGAGCAAAUUAUUUAGAAAACCUCAGACCCGGGAUUGAAAGCUAGGUUCCAACAUAUACGAAAAGCUCGAGUCCUUGGCUUUGAAGUCGAUCCAUAUACUAAUAUCGAUGUAGCCGACCUUCCUUUCUCCAUGGAGGACCUUCAAUAUUUACGAUACCACUUCGAAGUUUUUUCGGCCGUUUCUCUCUUCGGCCUCACGACCGAUGAAAUAACACGAGUUGCACGGUUGGAUGCCUAUCUUGACACCAGGGAUGCCCAUAUAAUGUACUAAGAGCAAGCUCGUAUCCUGGCAUCAAUCCCAGACACAAUUUCGAUUUCAGACGCACCUGAGGCACCUACACAGAAUAAACAGGUUUUUUAAGAGACACCGCGUGAACAAACCAUUGAAGAAUGAGCGGAUGAGUCUCUUGGUACAACUCUGACGGAAGCAGAUGCCGCUGUCGGCGACCACGAAAGAGAAGAGGCUGAAGAGGAUGAUCGUAACCCGAUGGGCCCGUCGAUCCUGGAUAACAUGGAAAUCAGUAUGGUCCAUGUUUUGCCCGCUGAUUUUCAGUCGAGCACAUCUCACCCGAAUUUCCUUAAUGGCGACGUAAUUGCCGAGGAAGAUGGUCACAUUAAUUUUGUAAAUGUUGCUGAUGACGAGUCAAUAACAAAAGAUGACAACCUCAAGGCAGCUUUAGCCGAAUUGUUUCCUCGCUCAUGAUCGGCCAAACUUCAUCAUUUGAAACCAUUGUACGUAACGGCCCAUAUCGAAGGGUAUCCAGUCUCCAAAGUUUUUGUCGACUAUGGAGCCACUAUCAAUAUCAUGUCUGUAAACGUCAUGAAGGCGUUACGCCACUCCAAUGAUGAACUUAUUCCCUCUGGGAUCACGAUGAACAGUUUUGUCAGAGACAAAUCCCAAACCAAAGGGGUGCUUCCUUUAACGGUAAACAUUGUCGGCCGUAAUCACAUGACCGCCUUUUUUAUUGUCGACUCCAAGACCGAGUAUAAUGCACAGCUUGGUCGAGACUGGAUUCAUCAAACCAGCUGUAUUCAUUCAUCAUUGUAUCAAAUGCUCGUUUUCUAGGACGGUAAAUCGGUCAUUGUUCACCCGGUCGAUAAUCAACCCUUCGAAGCUAACAUGAUCCAAGCACGAUAUUAUGAUAACCACGUCAUCUACAUCACCCUACAAGGUUUCAAUGAUGAAGGAUGGCCGACUCAGAUUUCUGUUCAAAAAGCUAUUGAGGUUGGCACCGAAACUGUCCACCAGGAUUCGGCGAGACUCGGUUUAGCUAACUUCAUCCCCGACCCUGAUGUUUGACACCGAUCGGGAAAAACAUCGGGCCGCGGUUUCAUCUACUAUGGAACGACUGCUGGCUCAUUGGUAUGCUAUAUCUAAGCAACCAAAUUCAGGCGUUAACCUCGUCGAGUUCCUCUCCGAAGGAGAUAAUGGUCCUGUCUUAUCUCUUGACAAAAUUCAAGCUGCCCCGACCGAGCUCGAAAACGAUCGGCCUCAAGUCAAAGACCCCUUGGAAGAAAUUAAUGUUGAGGCGGCCGAUGACCCACGACCUUUAUUUAUUAGUGCUUUACUUCCCCAACCUAUGAAAACCGAACUUCGUGCCCUACUUGAGGAAUUCAAAGAUUGUUUUGCUUGGAGCUACCAUGAAAUGCCUGGCUUAGAUCGCACUCUCAUCGAGCAUGAAUUACGUAUUAAACCUGGAUGUAAACCCUUCCGUCAACCACCUCGACGAUUCUCGACUGAAGUGUAACACGGUAUCAAGGAUGAACUGGUUCGGCUUUUGAAAGCAGGGUUCAUUUGGACAGCUCGAUACGUUGAAUGGUUGGCCAAUAUCGUUCCUGUUUUAAAGAAAAGUGGUGCAUUGCGCAUUUGCAUCGACUUCAAAAUUUUGAAUCUGGCAACUCCCAAAGAUGAGUAUACAAUGCCGAUUUCGGAUUUGUUGAUCGAUGUCGCAGCGAAUCAUGCAAUCUUAUCUUUUAUGGAUGGACAUGCCAGGUACAACCAAAUUUUCAUUGCCAAAGUCGAUGUACACAAGACUGCUUUUCACUGCUCGGGGGCACUUGGCACUUACGAAUGGGUUGUCAUGCCAUUCAACCUCAAGAACGCCGGCGCCACAUACCAACGAGCAAUGAACACCAUAUUUCAUGAUUUAAUUGGAACCAUUGUCGAAGUCUACAUCGACGAUGUUGUAAUUAAAUCUAAACGCUGGCAGACACAUCUGGAUGAUCUCAGACAGGCUUUCCUCCGUAUGCGUCAACACAACCUCAAAAUGAAUCCUGCCAAAUGUGCCUUUGGUCUGUCGGCCGAUAAUUUUCUCGGCUUCCUCGUGCAUCACCGUGGGAUUGAAGUGGAUGAAAAUAAAGCACGCGCAAUCAUCAAUGCUCCACCCCCGAUGAUGAAGAAACAACUACAGUCCUUACUCGGGAAGAUAAAUUUUCUCCGCCGAUUUAUAGCUAACUCGACGGGUAAAAUGAAAGCGUUCUCCACGCUUUUAAAACUUAAGGACUCAGAUAAAUUUGAGUGGACAGACAAGCAUCAGGCGGCGUUUACGCAAAUCAAAGUCUCCCUCACGACACCACCUGUCCUUGUUCCACCCCGGCGCGGGAAACCUCUCAAGCUAUAUAUCUCGACGGUCGAAGAGUCCAUCGGCUGCCUCCUCGCGCAAGACAACGAUGCCGGAAGAAAGCAGGCUAUUUUCUACCUCAGUCGAAAUCUCAAUCAACCGGAGGUUAAUUAUUCCGCCAUCAAGAAACUUUGUCUCGCCAUAUUUUUCACCGCCUCCAAGCUUCGGCAUUACAUACUCCCAUCGGUCACCCAAGUCAUUGCCCAGACCGACGUCAUCCGCUACAUGCUCACCUGACCAAUCGUCAAAGGCCGAAUUGGGAAGUGGACAAUGGCGUUGUCCGAGUUUAGCUUGCAAUACGUGCCCUAGAAAGCUGUCAAAGGCCAGGCACUGGCGGAUUUCCUCGCUCAACACCCUUCCCCCUAUGGUUUUAGGGGCACCGACGUCGAAAUCGGCAUGGUUGAAACGGUGAUAAUUACUGGAUGAUGUACUUUGACGGCUCAAGUACUUCAUCAUCGGCUGGCGUCGGAAUUGUCAUUCAAUCCCCAAACCACGAUCGUUGGUAUUUUUCGCUCAAGCUGGAUUUUGAAUGCAAAAAUAAUCAGGCUGAAUAUGAAGCCCUUAUUAUCAGCCUUGGCAUCCUUCAUGACUUGCGGCCAACCCGUGCCCUCAUCCUCGGCAACUCCGAACUCGUGAUUAACCAACUUAAUGGGUCUUUUCGAUGCAUGAGUUGUACCCUGGCACCCUACCACAUGGCCGCCAACUAUUUGGCCAAAUCCUUCGACGGUAUUACAUUUGAACAUAUUGCUCGGAUUCAUAAUACCGAUGCAGACGAAUUGGCUCAAAUCGCAUUCGAUGCAUAACUCCUAGGGGGCAAGCUAGGCCAAGAAAUACCCGUGUUACGACAGCUAUACCCGACCUUGGUUAACCAAUAAGUUCUCCGACAUGACAACGUAAUACGCACCAGAGUCAUGUCCUUACCAUCGUUGUUAGACUGACAAAACCUUAUAGAAGUUUACGUUAUCGAGGUAAUACCAGAUGAUUGGCGAAAACCCAUUAUGCAGUAUCUUGACAAUCCCAAUGGCAAACACAGUCGCAAGACGAGAGUUCACGCCACAAACUAUGUCACGUACCAAAACGAGUUAUACCGAAAGGGUGAGGAUGGUCUAUUACUGCUAUGCCUCGGCCCCCAAGAUAAUGCUCAAGCAAUCACAGAAGUCCAUGAAAGGGUUUGCGGAGCUCAUCAGUCCGGACGUAAAAUGCGGUGGUUGCUUCGACGACACGGUUAUUUUUGGCCAAGAAUAUUAAAAGAUUGUAUCAAGUUCACACGAAGGUGCACACAGUGUCAGAUUCAUGGUCUUAUACAACGGGUCUCGGUCGAGUCAUUACAUUCGGUCACUAAACCAUAGCCGUUUAGAGGAUGGGCAAUGGACGUAAUCGAAAAAAUCAUACCAUCUUCCGGGGUUGCCAAGCACGCAUGGAUAUUGGUAGCAACCGAUUACUUCACGAAAUGGGUCGAAGCAAAAUCGUAUGCCGAGCUAACGUCUAAAGAAGUUUGCGACUUUGUGGAAGAACACAUUGUGACUAGAUUUGGCGUACCAGAAACGAUUUUAACUGAUAAUGGCACAAUCUUUACAGCCGAGAGGUUUAAAGAAUAUACGGCAAGUCUGAAAAUUCGGCUUGAACAAUCUACACCAUAUUAUCCACAAGCAAAUGGGCAGGCCGAGACAAGUAACAAAGUGUUGAUCGGCAUUCUCGAGAAAAUAAUAAAAGAGAGGCCUGGCAUGUGGCAUUUAAAGUUAAAUGAGGCUUUAUGGGCAUAUCGAACAUUGCUCCGAUUGACGACUGGGACAACCCCGUAUGCACUAACCUACGGACACGACGCAAUGUUACCAGUCGAGCUAAGCAUAAAUUUGUUAUGAACAAUUGAACAAAGUAGUCUGUUCAGCACCGAAUAUAAUCAGUCAAUGAGACAGAAGUUAGAAGACUUAGAAUAAGCGCGACUCGACGCUUAUAACUUGCUGGUGGCACAAAAAUAGAUUGCCGAGCGAGCAUACAAUCAAAAGGUCCGACAGAAAACAUUUGGCGAAGGAGAAUUAGUUUGGCAAACAGUGUUGCCCAUAGGAAUUAAAGACCCUAGGUUCGGCAAAUGGUCGCCGACUUGGGAAGGGCCUUUCGUCAUACAUAAGGUUCUCGACAAAUGCGCAUAUCAUCUUAGAGACCGGACUAGUUUAGUUCACAAAUUGCCAAUCAAUGGGAAGUUUUUAAAGAAGUACUAUCCAAUCACAUGGGAAAUGCGGGAAUAGAAAUUCAUUUCAUUAAGAUCGGUAGAAGAAUACAUAAAUUGAGUUGGUCGAUCAGUUUACAUUUAAAUAAAUUCAGGGCGAAGAAGGAAAAAAAGUGCCGAGAAGAGCCUUAAGCUCCAGCCACCGCACCUCACCCAUUAUGACCUCGACAUGCCGGUUCUUCUUGUCCAUCUUCAACUGCUCGAUUCGUUUUGUGCUCCCUGCAUACUCAGUCAGACAAUCUCUGCCGCCCGAAUCGAAAUCUUUCGCAAUCUCAAAAGCAAUAAUCGACCUUCGUUUUACUAGUUCGGCUAUUUGACAGUCGAGGUCGGCCAAAGCUUCCCCUUUUGCCUUUAAAGCAUCAAUCUUUGGACAAAGAGCGUCUUGGACGGCCAUGGCAGCUUUCAAAUCUUGUUCAGCCUGAAGAGCGUUCUCAAGGACACUAAAAGUCUCCCAAACUUGCUCUAAGGCAAACGAUGGCUUCGGCGCUCAUUUGACCAUCUGCGCUGAGGUCGUUUAGGCAGGCACCCAAUAAAUCGAGGCCUUUGCAUUCAAGGACUUGCGACGCAGAAAGAGACAAAACUUCUUGCACCCAAACCAGAGCAGUUGAAUCAAGGGGGUAAGUUGUAAGGGCCGAAGGGCCAGCCGCUCCAACAGUACUUGACAGGAGGGCUUUGAACUCGACUUCCCAUGAAGCCUGCACACAAAAAUCAGUUUAAGCUCCAGGAAAUCACGAAAAAGGUAGCAAGAAGGUUUUGUUUUUAAACCUGGCGGGAGGAGACUUCGGCCAUGUCUUCAAGAUCGUUACUCGAACCUAAAGAACUUAAAAGCCGAAGUGGCUUCCUACGGAGGAAUAUUGAGGUCUUGGUCCUACAGAUGAACGGACGUUUCCGCCGUCACUUCUGGCUAUCCUACAGGUCGUUUGCCAUGGUCGGCCGUAGAGGGGCCGACUUGGACAGCCACCUCGGACACAGGAGGAGGCACCUGACAUUUAGUAUUUUCCUGGUUUAGAGUUCUAUGGCAGAGAAAUAACCAAGGAAAGGCGGUAGGGGGUACUUACAAAGGCCGAAGUGGCUUCCUACGGAGAAAUAUUGAGGCCCUGAUCCUGCGGAUGAACGGGCGUUUCCACCGCCUCUUCUAGCUCUCCAGCAGGUCAUUUGCCACGGUCGGCCGUAGCAGGGUUGACUUGGACAGCCGUCUCGGACAUAGAAAGAGGUUGACAGCGGGGUCGAAAGUGACUCGCCAGUGGAACCUCGUCGCUCCCGUCGCUCUCUUCCAGAACGAAGGCCGAGGGUUUUGGAUUUUCAGGAUAAGUUAUCUCAGUCACAGGGACUGCCUCUUCUGGGACGGGUGCAGCCUCGACCAGUGGAACAACAACUGGUUCACCGACUUUAGAAACAGGCCUUACUUGGACUGUUUCUUCGGUCGAAACUGAUCAUUUCUCAACUAAAGCUUGGGUGAUUGGGGGAGAAGGGGAAACACUGGGAGUUGUCACCCUUGUAGUUUGACUGGAGAUAACGUGAAUCACCCGUUCCCCUUUCUUCACCAGUUUUUUGACCCGUUUGGCGGGCCGAGGGGCUUCGAUGGCUGGCUCGACCUCUUAACGAGGCCGUUUGCUCAGCACAGCCUGCACAGCGAUCUUGGCCCUCUUGGAAACGACUGAUUUUUUCUCGACCGCGGCCGCGGCCGCAGCCGCAACGACCACUUCCACCUUUUUCAAUGGCCGACUACCUGGAAAAGUAAAAGCAAAUCAACAAAGCCGAUCAGUAGUUUAAAAUUGAAGAAAAAGGUAGAAAUAAACGGUUACCUUGGGGUUGGGGGGCAGGAGCCUUCUUAGGUCAAUCACCGAAGAUUUUGUUCAGAACGGUUUCGACCGAAACACCAAAAAACUAUUGGGUAUACUCUUCCCACCAAUCACCGAAGGUGUCAGUGUAAAGAGGCUCUAGAGUGACCGGUCGAAGAUGGAAUUUUUGGCACCGUUCCUGGAACUCUCUUUUGGCGUCGUUGCAUUCAUUCUCUGAAGAGCCAGGUUCGCGUCUGCGGCUUAGGACGGACCGUGAGGAGAGAAGGGGGACUGGGCAACCUUGAAGGUAGCCAAGCUAAUGAGCGAGGAAGUUGGGAUGAUACACUUCCCAACUCGCUUAGCGACCCUCAUAGCCGAGAGACAGGUCGCGGGCAAGCACGAAAGACCCCUAGGAUGGAUGAAGGUCGGCAUCUUCGUUCGUGUCCCACGCUGAUGUAGGGAGUCUGAUCGACGAAGGGUAUUCUCGAUGACGGUAGAUCAAGAACUCAUCAUCAGAAAGGUCGUCAAGAGUGAAAAAGUAUCUGAACACUUCUUCGACUUGGUGAGAGGGGAUUGGCCGAAAAGUCAGCUGAGGGCCGAGCGCUUCCUUAGGCGAGAAAUCGGCAAUCGUUGGCUAAAGAGGAGCAAAGUAAACCUACAGCCAGAGUUGGAAGACCCAGAGGGGACCAUUCUGCUGCGGAUUGACCUUAUCUAGGGUUGUUUCGGCCAAGCAGCGUAAGAGAUGGGCGAGAAUGGCCGGGCUGAGUGCUAGAGUGUGACCGCUUGCUAGGGCUUCGGCCACUGGCAUAUUCUCGACCAGACACUUAUUAGAUUUGGUACAACAGAUAAAUUUAUUGUACCAAUAAAAGAGGAAAGCCUCGUGUUCUCCUUCUCGCAGAGCUUCUUCUCCUCGGCCGGUAAAAUGGAAAUAGAGGGUGUUAUAGUUGAAGAAGUUCUUAUGAAGCUUGUAAACCUCUUCUUUCGAGGGUAUUUGGCCUUCACCGCUUAGCAUCUCAAGGGCCCGUUUGUCGAAGAGUGCCUUCAAGUUAAGGUUCGACGGGUACCCAGAGAGGGCAGCGUCAAUUGGGAUUCCAGUCGGGGAAGUCCCCAAGAUGUCAGUGAGAUCAAGGAUGGUGGGGCCAAUGGGGCCGAGAGGGAUGACCAUGGUGUUGGUGGCCGAACACUAGAAGCAUAAGGCCGCUAGGAGGAGCUCCUUGUCCAGGAUGACCUCCAUAGACGAGAGGUGAAUGGCAUCGUAAAUGCCGAGGAAUUUCCAUUGCUCGCCGAAGAGCUUCUCCAUUCAUACAACCCAGGCUGCCCAGGUUGUAGUGGUCGAAGGCCAAGAGCCUUGAGGCCUUGCCACAUCCCACUUCGGCCAUUCAAACCCUUGUAGCAAAGGCGACAGGCAAUGUUUCUAGAGAAGCCCAAUGAUGGUUGAUGGUACUGUCGCUUUAAAGAAAUGACCCAAGAUUUGAUGAGGGGUGCUCAUGUCACUUUCGAACCGUAUGGUUUUGAUCGAACUUCGAUCAAUAAUGUUCUGACAUUGGUCGCAUUCCUUGGAAAGCUUGGAGAUGAAGGAAGCCAUUGUAAGGGGAUUAAAAGAAUGCGAGACGAAAUGAGCUUUUCUGGGUUGGGAGAUUUGAAGACAAAGAUCUGGAAGGAAGGAGUGCACCAGAGAACGAUGGCAAGAAUUUCAGAAAAUUUGAAAGCGUAAAGUACAAAUGAGAGAAUUUCGGUAUUUAUAGAACGGUGGAAGGAAGGGCAAUCGUUCGAAAUUCAAAAUGAAGGGUAAAAUCGAUCGAGAAAUUCGCUAAUCAUUAUGAACAUUUAGAAAAUCCAGUUGAGAAGACCAAGGUUUCGUGUUUAGGGGGACGCACGAUUGCGUAUGGCGGUGAGAUUUAUGGUGAAAAAUGUUUUGGCGUCUGCACGAUGCUGAAUGGUUCGCAGAUCGAGGCAGCAUGGUUAUGUUCAGCAACGAGGUUAUGAUGAUAUGACGGUUCAGGGAGCCGCACGCUUUAAACGUCAUUAUUGGGGAUUAGCCGUAUAAAAGGAUGCCACAUGGUGUAUUGGUUAGCAAGAUCGAGAUCGUGCAAUCGUGCUCAAUAAAUGCGCCUCGAGAAUAAGAGUAUUUGGAUUUUGAGUUUUAAUUUCACUUCUUUAAGGCCGGAGCUCGACCAGAGGAUUCAGGCCUAGGACCUCAAAAGCGAGGGGGCAAUGUUUGGGCCCAAAAAUAUCAGUUUGGGCCGAGUAUAGAAUUAUUCUCGGCCCAGCGUUUAGUUCUGGACCGGUUAGGUCGUGGGCUUCCGAACCUGGGUCAGUUAAGCCAUGCUGCAAGACGAGUCGAAUCCUGGUGCAAUGAGGAGUCUCGGCAAGAUUAAUAACCCCGAAGUGAAUCCGGCUUAAUAAAGGACUAGGUUCACAAAUAUGGUGAAAAUAGGACUGGUCGAGUUGGUAUUUGAUCAGGAGAAGAAGUCAUAAUCCGGGUAGGGUUUUAACUCGACCUUGAAGGUAUCGGGUGCUAUAAAUAGAGGAGGUUGUACAUCAUUCAGGCCCCUUCAAUUCAACACACAACAACCCUGCGCAAACUUUCACAACAACUUUGAGAUUUUUAUUUUCUCUUUUCGUUGACACAUCUUCUGUUGGCAUCAACAGCACUGUGAAAGCAACCGGUGAUAUCUUAAGUCGGCAUAAAUAGCUCUAUCACCGUAGAAUCAGUCGGUCUCGCAGCAUCUUCUGUUGGCAUCAACAGCACUGCGGCGAUGACGGUUGGUUACCUAUCCAAGUCUCAGUCGAGAAGGAUUUCCAAAUCCUUAUUGAUUGAGGUCAUCUCAUUAGCCUUCUCGGCGAAGUGAGGUGUUACAGUUUACUGAACUCGGCGCAUUGCACGCCGAGUUAUUUUAUGAUUGGAUACUCUCAAGUGGGAUUUAGAGUUCAGCAUUCAGACGGCCGAACCACGUUCACUAUUAAGACUUAUAUUCACUUUGAGUAUUUGUGCCCUUACACUUUAGUGUCAAUUCGGCGUGAGUUUACUCUGACGAACAACAUCACUGUGACCGAAUCCGACGACGACGAUUCGUGAACUUCGUAAGAAUAGUAGCCUUGUCUUCAGGUUCGAGAACCCAAGAGGCCGAGAUGUGUUCCUUCCUCGGUCGCAAUCGCAAGACGCAGAAGUCAGCCACGCACCCAACGCAACAUCAAUAAAUUUACUUCUCGGUCGAGCUCGACCGACGAGUUGGCACGCUCUGCAUUCACCGAAGGACGUAGUUAGCUUAUAGAUUACUCGGCCUGUGCGCUACGUAGGCUUGGUAGUUUUUAGGGUCAACAAUAACAUACAAAAACAUCAUAAUUUUUGCUUUAGCAAUUUAGUGAAUUAGAUGGUAUGAGAUGAAAGUUUAAGUGUGUCACAUCCCAGUCCGGCUCCGCCGUAGCACGAUAUUGUCCGUUUUGGGCUUACCAUUCUCUCACGGUUUUGUUUCUGGGAACUCACACAAGAACUUCCCAGUGGAUCACCCAUCCUAGGAAUGCUCUCGCCCGAACUCGCUUAACUUUGGAGUUCUGAUGGACUCCAAAGCCAGUGAGCUCCCAAAAGGUCUCGUGCUAUAGGGAGGGGAGCAUGUACAUAUAAGACACAUCACCCCCUCUCUGUUGGUCAAUGUGGGAUAUUACAAAGUGAUUACAAGACGCAAUGUUUUACGAAAUAUUUUUCAAAUGUCAUAUGUAUAGUGAAUUUUAAAAGAAAUAAUGGUGUCAAACAUGUGUCAUAAAAAAUAUUGAUUUAGUAAUCCACCAUCCCUUUAUUUAUUAAAAUGAUAGGUGACACAACCUGAUUAGAGAACAAUUAAAAAAAAUAUAAAAGAAAAAAUUGGGAAGUUGGACACGUGGGAAAUGGAAAAAGAACUUUUUCUUCAAAAUGGGGAGUUCGUCACGUGGGAAGUGUAGAGAGAAUGUUUUUCUUCUUCGUUGGAACUAGGUCCAAGAACAGGAGAAUCAUGGCGGUAUUCUCUGCGUUCCUCUUCGUCUAAGAUUAGACUUCUUCUCAACCCUGAAACUGGAUUGUCGAAGUAAGCUCGGAACUCUUUUGUUUCACAACACCCUAUUCCUUCUUAGGCCUAUUCAAAUGGCUGUAUGGAUAAUGCUUUUAGGCUGAACCGAAGAAUUGGCUUGAAAUGAUUAUCCGAGUUGCUCGCAGUUUGACAGUUUCUGUUGCUUGUUUCAUGCAUUUGUAACUUAUUUUUUGCCCUUUAUUCCAAUUAUGGUCUUUCUACUCAUUGUCUUUGACACAAUAAUGAAUAAAUUUUCUAUUGUUCAUUCGAAAGUACGGCAUUGCAUCUUUCACUUCUAGCAGGAAUUAGAAAUGGAAGAUUGAUAGCGUUCACUAAAAAUGAUAGCUAGCAGUUAGUAUAGGCUGGAAAAGGGUGAUAAGUAGAAGAACUAACAGAGUGGUGCUGGCAUGUACAAAGUUUGAUUUUGGUCUCUGUGGUUUAUUUUUUAAAUUAUUAUUAACAGGAGGGGGGAGGUUCAAAACUAUUACAAUAAUUUGAGGGAGGGGGAGUUUCGAGCCUUUGAUGCAUAGGUGGAAAUCCAACACCCUAUUACUAGGAUAUAUUGGACCACAUGCAGGUAUUACAUGGGUGGAAAUCCAACACCUUGUUCCUGUAGUUUCAAUUAUCGCGUUUCUAAAGAGAUGCUUUACCUUUUGGGUGUUACAUUUGCACGAAUCGCAUUGCAUCCGUCAUUUGUGUAGUUCCAACUUUGCUGUUCGUACACCUUCCAGGUACUAAUUCGCUGGAUGUAGCCAUAAAAAUGGGCUUAGAUAUGGAACAUCAUACAACUAAUUUCAAAUCGACUCUCAUUAUUUCCUCUAUUUGAAUUGUAACAUUACAAAGAUUUAGAUUUGUCUUGGAACAUAAUUUGUAUAAAAUGUAGCAUCUCUGAGAGAACUGCCCUGUAUCGACGACGUCAAUGGUCUACUCUUUAAUUAGAAGUGCCCUUAAGAUGACUUCACUCAUACCAUCUGGAGCUGGCAACAAAUGUCCACCACCUGGUACCUCAUGGUAGUGAAUCCAUGGAAGCUUUUCGGCAAUAUAGCGUUGCAGCUCAACUGGGACAAGCUUAUCUUCGUCACCCUGCCAUAGAUGGACCGAGCCUUCGUCGCUGGCAAAGGGGUUCUGCAGAUCCAUAGGAUCAAAUUCCCAGCUCCCAAAUCCAACUACCAUGUCGCGAAAGAUGGACUCAGCUUCUCCUUGCUGUGUGGCAUGUUCCUGCCCAAACAAAUAACAAAACAAACAAAAAUCAUCAACUCUGCCGAGUUUCUAUAAAAUCGUAAACAAUUAGCGAUCGAAUAAGGAAAGUACCUUGUGCUUUUCUCUUCCAAAAACCUUUGCAUUCUUAAUGGCUUCCCAAUCUUGGCGGGACAACAUAACCCUGUGUUUAGGAAAGAAUUUCUGAGUGUUCCACCAGUAGGUUAACCAAGGUAUAUAGUGGGCAGCUCGAAGCGCCCAUUGAUCCUGUGGAGCUUGCUUCUUAUAGGCAUAAGACGACAGGUUGGCAGGAAGUCCUGGCCACCAGUAGUUGAUCACCGGAGCGAUCAGUGCUGCUCCAGCUAGCCUGUCGUAACAGGCAUCCCAAACUCAUCGAACUUUAGAGAAAAUUUUCAGUACCGAACGAUGCAUCAUCAGGUAACGAGGCUGCUUGCAAAAUCCUACCUAUGAGGGAUGUACUGAAGACACUUCCAGAUGACCUGUCCUCCCAUUGAGUAUCCAAUCAUAUAAAAUUUGGAUCCGAGUUCCAGCUGAUCACCAAGCUCCUCUAUAUCUAACGCUAAGCUCUUCGUUGUUCGCUUAGGAUCCGGAUCACUUUCACCGUACCCUGGUCUGUCGAAAGACACAAUGUACACACCUAAAUCUUCAAUAACUUCCUGAGGAAAGGAAAAAAAAACACGCACCACGAAAUCAACCAAUAAAGAGUUGAACUGAAAAAUGACAAAGAAUCAAGCAAGGCAGUACCGGAGAGACGGCUGUUGCAAUGAUUGGAUCAUGUCGGGAACUAAAGAAGGGAUGAACAAAGAUAAUCUUGUACUUGGCCAAUUGUUUUGGAACACCAUGUUCCUUGUAGGCCAAAAAUCUUCCAUCCCUUAGCCUUAUUCUAGGCGCUGUGACGGGUGGACCGCCAGGCGAACCACAGAUGUUCGGAGGUGGUGGUCGGGUGGCCUGAUAUGCCCACGCCAGCAAUCCAACCAACAAGAUGAAUGUGAUCCUCUUAAACAUGUUUGAGAAGAUGGAAAGUAAGAAACUUUACUCACCUGCAGUAAAAAGAAGCAAAUAGAAAAAUAACAUUACACUAGAGGACAUCAUUGUAUAAUAAGUUUAAAGUGCUUUUAGAUUUAGGUCCAAAAAUAAGUUGUUUCGGGAGUGAGUUCAGUAAUCUAAUUACAUGUUUUGAUACUAAUUUUACCCUUUUAGAUAAGAAUAUUUAAAUUCUUUAAUUAAAGAAUACAAUUCUUAAAUAUUAAAUAGAAAAUCGAUUUAUGUGGCAGGUAAUCAAAAUGAUCAUAUAUUUGAAUCUAAAUAUACACUUUUUUUCGUAGCCAUAAAAACAUUAUAAUGCAUUUUGAGAAAGGAGAUGAUGAUAUGUGAGAGAAAAGAAAGAUCGAAGAUGUUGGAAGUUUGAAACGUGAGAAACAAAAACACAAAGAUACAAUAAAAUGAGUUAGUUGAUUAAAAAGAAAACAAGAAAUAAAAGAGGAGAAUGCUUCCAUGGUGCUUUGGUGCCACCUGUCUCAUAUUUAUUGGGUUGGUUGGAGUGCUUUAAUCAGACUUGACCAAACGAGAUUCAACACUAGGGGAUUUCAUUUCUACAUUUAAGAACAAAGCAGUAGCAGAUGCCAUACAAAAAUGAGAAAGAAGAACGAAAAAAAGACAAAAAAAGAAAAGGAAUAUUUUUGUUUGCUAUUCUUAAGUGAUGGUGAUUCUUAUUACUCUAUUUAUCAUCGUAAAAUGAGUUUAAAUUUCAAAUAUGUAUAGUGAAUAUAUAUAGACCUCAAAAUUUAAACCCAUUAAAUAAUGGUAAAUAGACUUGUGAGUAUUAUCAUCACUUGAUAAUGAUGAUUCGUGAGCAAAAAUGCACCUGGAAAAAAAUUAUGAAGAUAAAACGAGCCGUGAGAAGUAGGUCAGUAAGAGAUUUAAUUCCUAAUCACUGAAUUCAUUUCAACGAGUAAACUAUUCUUAAUAAUAGUUUGAAAAAUUAGACUUAUAGUAAAUUUUCUCGAGUUUUUUAAUUUGCUACUUCCCCUCAAUUGAUGAAAGGUUAUUUAAAUCAAACAACAACCAGAAAAAUGGACAAUCAAGUAUAAAGAAAACAAAUACACACACGCUUUACUUUUAUCCAAAACAAUAUUACAAUAUCAAAACUAUAAGAUGCGGAUUUUAAUAUAUAAGAGAGAAACAGUGUUCUAGCUAAUUUGAUUAUACUAAUUGUUCCUGUAAACGCACACAAUCAAUAAAUAAGUUGCAAAUUAAAAGAUGCACUCCUUUGUUUAACCAAAACCACAAGAAAAUAAAUCAUAAAAAAUCAUACUUGCUAAUGUGGUUUUUUGGUAAAAACUUACCACCAACACUCCUCCCUCUGUGAUAAUAAUAAGUUUAUGCAGAAGAAAAUGGCAGAAACCAGGCUGAGUGAGCAGCUGCUUUUAGCUUUUGUGUGGUUGUUAAAUUACGUGGAGGAACCCACCUUCACCUAUUUCAAGGCUCGUUUCUUGUCUAGGACUGGCUUGACUUAGACAAUCUGCCGGAUUUUAAAGAAAAAAAAAAUAGAAAUAUGAAUGUCAGAUUGCAUGUUUUGUCAAAGUGACGAACGUAGAUGGAGACGCGAAGAAAAAUUGUCCAUCUUAAUCUUAGACUUUUUGUAAAGAUUAGGAGAAAUAAGUUUUGUUGGUAAUUUUAAUGACAUAUUUGUCAAUCUCCUUCCCUCUGAACUUGGAAAAAGUUGCUAAAUUUCUGUAUAAAUUUUAAUUUUAAUCGAUUACUCGCCUGAGUUGUUAUAAUUAACCAAAUUUUCCCUUAAUGUUAGAUUUUAGAAUUUUUGUUCUAUUUUGGUCACAACAAAUGUUUGAGGACAAUAAAGUAAUUUUAUUCUUAAUGUGGACAUCAAAUUGCUUUUUGUUUUUUCCUUCUCCACCUCCUCGACACCGUUCACUCAAAUUGCUUUUUGUUUUUUUUUUUCUCCACUUCCUCGAUGUCGUUCACUCUCUGUUCGAAUUAGUAGCUGCAAUGUAUUAGCUUUGCACCCAAUUUACCAAAACAAAAUUAUCUUUUUGCCUUCAUACAAUUGUCAUGUGUUGCUUGCAUGACCAAAAUAGAAGAAAAAAUUUAAAAUCUAACAGGAAAAAAAUGGCUAUUUAUAACAGUUUAAAAUAAUAAUCGACUAAAAUUAAAUUUCAAAAGAAAAAUUAACAGUUGCAUAAAUGUUCGGAAGCAAAUCAAGAAAUAGGUCAAUUUUAAUUAAUGGCAUAUUAUUUUAUUUUUAUUUUUUUGAAGAGAAUUAAUGGCAUAUUACAAGGAAUAAAUCCUUGUGGUAUUUGAUAGUUGGUGGCCAUGGAGAAAUUUUUAGUUAUAACCGAAAUACGGAUGAUAUAUCACGUGUUUCUACGUAAGUGGUGAAAAAUUUUAAUUUUUAAAUUAUUAACAUUUUAACACACAUAAUACAUCAUUUAUAUAAAGAUACGUAGUGUAUCAUUUAAUGUAACGGUCACAUUAAAAAAUCUAUUGUGGCCAUGGUUGGCAGCCUUCCUCUUCGCUUUUAUUCUUUUUCUCUAUUGGGUUGGGAAUUUUUUUUUUUUUUUUUGAAGAAUUGGUUUGGGAUUUUUAUGAGUCGGCACUGAACAGGAAGGCAGGGGUGGUUGUUGGUUUGUCCAAUCCAAAAGUUGGAGGCUGCUCAACUACACGACAUAAUAAACGACAAAAUAGACAAGUCUAUAUGUGGGCGUUGUUAGUUGUCCUAAUAAGAGUAGACAAAUGCUAGCAGAAUUCUUUUUAAAAUGAGACUUUUUAUUGAUUUUUUAUCAUUCCACAGUUUAACGUUAAUUAUCGUGCGAAUGUUAUAAAAUAUUAUAUAAAAAAUAUAAGGUAUAGAGAGUCAAUUGAAAGUCUCACCAUUAAGAGAGUUCCUUUAUUAUUUCUAUAAAAUUUUGGUUACAACUUACAACCAUACCAUUAGAGCAUCUCCAAAAAAAAAAAAAAAAGAUAAUGUAGCAUCUCUAAGAGAGCUGCCCUGUAUCAACGACGUCAAUGGUCUACUUCUCUCUAAUUAGAAGUGCAUUUAAGAUGACUUCGCUCAUACCAUCUGCAGCUGGAAACAAAUGUCCACCACCUGGUACCUCAUGGUAGUGAAUCCAUGGAAGCUUUUCGGCAAUAUAGCGUUGCAGCUCAACUGGCACAAGCUUAUCUUCGUCACCCUGCCAUAGAUGGACCGAGCCUUCGUUGCUGGCAAAGGGGUUCUGCAGAUCCAUUAGAUCAAAUUCCCAGCUCCCAAAUCCAACUACCAUGUCGCGAAAGAUGGACUCAGCUUCUCCUUGCUGCGUGACAUGUGCCUGCCCAAACAAAUAACAAAAGAAAACAAAAGAAAAAUCAUCAACGCUGCCGAGUUCUGUAAAAUCCUAAACAAUCAGCGAUCUAACAAGGAAAGUACCUUGUGCUUUUCUCUUCCAGAAACCUUUGCAUUCCUAAUGAUUUCCCAAUCUUGGCGGGAAAACAUAUUCUCUGGUUUCCCGGAUACAACGCUGGAUUUAGGAAAGAAUUUCUGAGUGUUCCACCAGUAGGUUAACCAAGGUAUAUAGUGAGCAGCUCGAAGCGCCCAUUGAUCCUGCGGAGGUUGCUUCUUAUAGGCAUAAGAUGACAAGUUGGCAGGAAGUCCUGGCCACCAGUAGUUGAUCACCGGAGCGAUCAGUGCUGCUCCUGCUAGCCUGUUGUAAUAGGCAUCCCAAACACAUCAAACUUUAGAAAAAAAAAAUUCAGUACCGAACGAUGCAUCAUCUGGUACCGAAGGAGGCUUCUUGUAAAAUCUUACCUAUGAGGGAUGUACUGAAGACACUUCCAGAUGCACUGUCCUCCCAUUGAGUAUCCAAUUACAUAAAAAUUGGAUCCGAGUUCCAGCUGAUCACCAAGCUCCUCUAUAUCUAACGCCAAGCUCUUUGCUGUUCUCUUAAGAUCCGGAUCACUUUCCCCGUACCCUGGUCUGUCGAAUGACACAAUGUACACACCUAAAUCUUCAAUGACUUCCUGAGAAAACAAAAAAAAAUAAAAAUCCACCACGAAAUCAUCCAACAUAGAAAUUAACUGAAAAGUGACAGAGAAUCAAGCAAGGCAGUACCGGAGAGACGGAUAUUGUAAUGAUUAGAUCGUGUCGGGAACUACUGAAGGGAUGAACAAAGAUAAUCUUGUACUUUGCGAUUGGUUUUGGAACACCAUGUUCCUUGUAGGCCAAAAAUCUUCCAUCCCUUAGCCUUAUUCUAGGCGCUGUUAUGGGUGGACCGCCAGGCGAACCACAGAUGGUCGGAGGUGGGGGUCGGGCGGCCUGAUAUGCCCACGCCAGCAAUCCAACCAACAAGAUGAAUGUGAUCCUCUUAAACAUGUUUGAGAAGAUGAAGUAUGAAACUUUGCCCAACUGCAGUAAAGAAGCAAAUACAAAAGUAAAUUACACUUGAG